ACAACCACCAAGAUCAACAACCAACUUUAUUAUUCACUUAACAAUAUACGGCCCUCGUAUAUUAUUAAUAUCAAACAACAAACACUGCUAAAAUAUUAUCCCGAGAUUGAAGAAGGUGUCACAGCCCAACAAGAUGAUCAAUGAUUUACAUGACUGUGCAAGCUGAGGGAUUUUCUUCACAAUACCCCCUGCUGCCACCGCCGUAACUGUCAUACACUGGCCUCCCAUAGUAACCAUCAUACUGGAUGUACGGGGGUGGUCCCCCACCAUAACCACUGUAGCAUGGCCCACCUGCAUGCCCAUGGUAACAAUCCGUACAACAUGUUCGGACAGGCGGUGGGUACCCUGGCACACAAGGAACCGGCUGCAUAGGAGGAGGACAAGGCUUCACUGGCUCCACCGGUGGUUUAGGUUUUUCAGGAGGUGGUUUAGGCUUUUCGGGAGGCGGUGGAGCCGGUUUAGGUUUUUCGGGAGGCGGUGGAGCCGGUUUAGGUUUUUCGGGAGGUGGUUUCUCAACCGGCGGCGGUGGCUUGGGCUUCUCUGGCUCUUUGAUCUCGAUGCUUUUUAUGGCACCUCCACCUUUGCAGCAAAUCUUGUCUCUUAUCUUUUCUGGACUACAGCAUACCACUUUGAUCACCACUUGGUUUUGCUUCUCGUCGUAUAUCUGGUCUCGUAUUUCUCUUGUUCACAAACACACAUUAAUUUACUUAGUCUACAAUUAAUCUUAAUUUUCCAAAAAGGUAGAACUUUUGAUUUUUCAUCAAAUAAUUAUAAAUGAAGCAAGGAGAAGAGAGACUCACGAGGGAAUUUACAAAGAACUUUUUUGACUUUCUUGUAGCAUUUGUGACACUGAAGAUCCACCUUCAGCACCAUAAUCGUAACCUGAAUUACCCAUAUUAAUAUUAAUAGAAAAAAUAUGUACAUUAACCAAAUAUUGACAAGAAUGAAUAUUCAGAAAAUGUAUAAAUAAUACAGAAGAUUGUUGUGCAAAAGUGUAGACAAAAAGAAGUGGAACAGUGCUGCUGGACAAUCAGGGUUCUUACUGACUGACUGGGAAGAAUCAUGAUGAAGGUAUGUGGCAAAGUCAGUAACAGAGAGAGAGAGAGAGAGAGAGGGGAAAAAAACAACAAAAUAGCACAGAGGAGGGGACUUGGAUUCUUAUUAGGAUAUAAAUAAAAGAAUAGGAACCACAAAACUUAAACAAGAGCUUAAAGCCUUUUAGUUUUAGCCAUACAAAUCAUCAUUUUGGUUAUCUGCUUAUCCUCAGAAGAAGAAAAAAUGAAGAGAACACAAACUAUACCAAAUAUUGCGUACCUUUUCCUUUUCCCCCAUUGUAGUGAGUAGUGGAUGCUCUCAGGCUCAGAUCUAAAGGAUAACUUCUCAACUAAAAUGAUUGAAUGGGACAACUACUCUCACAGAACUGACUUAUAUAUAUACAAAAAUAUAUAAAAAUAGGAAUACAAUUCGGUGGAACAAGGUAAAGGGAAAGAGAAGGAGGGCAGUAUUUGAUUGAAGUGGUUUAUUAAAAAAAAUCAUGACAAAUUGCUUGUUAAGAAAGGUUUCUUAGGGAUCAAGAGGAUUUCGUGAUUGUAACCGUUCAUCGUAUAUUAUGUGAUCAGUUUUCGUUAGAUACUAUUUAUAUUUAUUUUAAUUUUUAAUUUUAAAAUAAUUUCUGAUCACACGAUAUACGAAGAACUAUCACGAUCACGAAAUUCUCAUAAUCCCCAAACGAGGAUCCUUUGCCGUUAAGAAAGAAUGAAAAAAAAAAGAGCGCGCACAAUAAUUCGUACAUAGGGCCAAUGGGAUGCUGAUAUUGGAAGGUUGAUUUCGGCCCCGUUUGGGAUUGAGAUGAUUUUAAAAAAAGUCACUGUGAAAAAAAGCUGAGGGUCAUUUUUGUGUUUGGUAAACUGAAAAAAAAAAGCUUAUUUUGGAAGCUGCUGUGAGAAUAAGCUGAAAAUCAAAGGAAAAGCUGAAGCUGCUAUUUGCUGCUUUGAAAAAAAGCCAAUUUUUUCAAAGCACACGGAGCUACAGUGCUCCUUUAAUGAAAAGACACACUAUCAUCCUGCUUUUUUUUCCAAAAGCACUUUCACAAAAAAGUUUACCAAACACUCUACUGGCUUUAUUUCACAGCCGCUUAUUCUCACAGCACAACCGCUUAUUCUCACAGCAGCUUUUUUUCAAAGCACAACAAUACCAAAUCAGCCAUUCAUGCUAUGGUGGACAAAAGCUUCAUUGUAACUGUAAUACGGGUAGUACAUUACGUGUAAGUGAUGAGAAAUUUUAUUUUUUAAGUUAUUAAUUUUUUUUAACAUAAAUAUUUUAUAUUUUUAUAAUAACACGUGAUAUACCAUUUUAUAUUUUAGAUUGAAAAAUAUCUCGCUGUAAUGAUUGUGGGUUGUCGUUAUACGAAGUGACUUUCUGAUGGUCGCUAAAAGUUGCAGUUUCUUGCAUAUGCAUGUGCUGGCUUUGAUUCACCCACCUCACCUUCCAUACUUUCCAACUUCCUGCUAAUAUUAUUAUAAGUAAAUGAUUAAUUAUCAAAAUAAAAUUACAUCCUAAGUUAAUUAUAAUUAUUAAAGUUCACAUAGAGUUUGGUGGGCAGGAGAGCUGCCAAUAUUAUUUCAAGAUCGUCAUAUUAAUGGAGAAAAAACUCUAUUGUAAGGUCGAUAGUUUGGUCAAGUACAAUUAUGGAUCAUGCACCCCCACAUGGCACAUGGAAGUUCCUCCAGUUGUCCCUACAUCUUAAGUAACAACAGGUGCCACCCGUCUUUGACCAGCUACUUGAAGUUUGGUUUGUUAAUCCAAACCGGUGAAGAAACGUCUAGUAAUUAGGGUAACGACUUGGAUGCAAUUGAUACGUCAUCAUUUUAGAACCACACGUACAUACAUGAUGCAAUCAUAUAUAUGUGGAAUUUGGCGUAGAAAGAAAGAAUGUGAUAAACCCUAUAAUCUGCAAUGUACUGGAGAGAGAAUGGAUGAUCAUAAUUGAAAAAGCGUGGGCUCCAGACGGCGAAGGUGUGGCUACUGCCUCGGAAAGCCGUUCCAAGUGUCCCAACUUCAUAGAGGUGGGUUGGCUCACACGAUAGUGGUUGAUCAAUCCGAUUUGAUCUUUUCUUCUUGUUUAAGGUUUUAGUGAUCCAUUUAUUAAGUGCAUCACAGCUCAGUCAUUUGUACGUAAGACUUGAUAUGUUUAGUUUUGAUACAACUAGGAUGAAUAAAUAUCCAUUGGUUUGGAUGGUCGUGGUUAUCCGUUCAUUUAAAUUUCACGGUUACGGUUAUAGAUAACUGUUUAGAUAAAUAAACGGUUAUGGGUAUAACCAUUUACCCGUGAAAUUUAAAUUGACGGUUAUGGGUAUUAAUCGUGGUUAUAAACGGGUAACCAUUUACCCAUUUAUUUUAUAUAUGUAAAAUUAACACAAACCAUGUUCCCUAUCGGACAAAACUUAGAUCAAUGUUAUUGACUGUAGUGCAUGAUUUCUAUAGCUAAUAUAAUAUAACUUUCCUUAACCACUUUAAAUUUCAUGAUCCAAUAUAUAUAUAUUAUGUUAAUAUUUUACAUUCUGAGUUAAAUAACCCAAGAAUAUUGUCUUUUAACAAUUCUCGUAACCCAAUAAUACUUAGCAAAUUUUAUAUUUGUUAAGGGUAGUUAGGUAAAGUUGUGAUAAGUUUGUUUUACUUUACUUAGCUAUUAAGAUAAGUAGUGAGAACAUAUGUAAAUGAUGGUAUAUAUAAUACCAAGUGUAAUAUUAUUCAGAAAUAUAAUUCACAAUUUUAUUUCUUCUCUCUCUCUAAACUUUCUUACUAAAUCUCUCUCUCUCUAAACUCUCACAUGGUAUCACUCGCCGGUGUCUAACGACCUCCGACGAUCCUUCGUCUCUCUGCGUUCUCUGCGUUCUCUGUGUUCUCUCCUUUUGCUUCUUGUCGCUACCAACAAUGGCGGUUUCGUCUCCCUCUGAUUCUACCUCGCAGCCAUCUUCUGCAGAUUCUUCGGCCCCAAAUUCGUGCCCUAAUUCGAUCAGUUCGAUCACUAUUCAGAAUAUUGGUUCGCUGGUUCCGAUUAAACUCACAACUACAAAUUGGAUCACCUGGAGUGCUUUAUUUGCACCCAUUUUUCGUCGGUACAAUCUCACCGGCCUCAUUGAUGGAUCUCUGGUGGCGCCGCCCAUGUAUCUUCUGGAUUCUUCAGGAAAUCGCACUUCGACUGUGAAUCCUCAAUAUAUCACCUGGUUUGAGAAUGAUCAAAACAUUCUGAUCUGGAUCAAUUCGACACUCUCGGAUUCUCUGAUUCCCUACACUGUUGGUGUUACCUCUGCUCGAGAUCUGUGGGCAAAACUGGAAUCUCGUCUUGCUACAGCGUCGCAAUCACAUAUUCAUGAACUGCGCUCUCGCCUUCACACGAUUACCAAAGGUGAUUCCACUGCGGCUGCUUAUCUUCAACAAAUUGAAGAAAUUGCGGAUGCUCUUGCGACUGCUGGUGCUCCGAUUGCUGAUUCGGAACUCAUCUCUGUUCUUCUUCAUGGCUUACCGCCUGAAUAUGAUGCUUUUGUUGAUACUAUUCAAUUUCGUCUUGGUUCCACUACUGUUGAUGAGUUACAUGGCUUAUUGCUUAGUAAGGAGAUUCAAUUGGCAAAUCGCAAGAAGGUUUCUUCCUCAGUGCCAUUUCAAGCAUAUCAUUCCUCUGCUGGUCUUCUCCCUACACCACCUGCUGAUUCUUCUUCUCAGGCGUACUUUGUUUCUUCUCAUGGCCGUGGCUUCGAUCGGACUUUUUCUCAUCCUAGAAAUUUUCAGAAUUUCUCUCGCCAAGGUCAGACUUUCAGUCGCCAAGGUCCGAAUUUCUCUCGCCAAGGUCAGUAUUUCUCUCGCCAAGGUCAACAGAAGAAUAAUCGUGGAUCCAAACCUAAUUUCCACAACUUCAACCGCAGACCUUCCUGUCAAUUUUGCCGUCAAUCUGAUCAUGAGGCUAUUGAUUGUCCGCAUCGUCUGAAUCCUAACUAUGGUACCAAGCAUUCACAAACUGCAUAUCAUGCGAAUACUGCUUCCAAUGCUUUCACUCCUUCCACUGCUUCCAAUGCUCCCACAUGGCUUCUUGAUACCGGUGCCAGUUCUCAUAUGACCAACUCGUAUACAAAUCUUCAAAGUCCUGAACCCUACAGUGGUCCUGAUCAAGUUUAUAUUGGCGAUGGCAAAGGUUUGCCUAUCACUCAUUCUGGUUCUUCUUGUCUUCCUACCUCUACUCAUACUUUUAAUUUGCACAAUGUGUUGCAUGUUCCUGAUCUGAAACAAGAUUUGAUUUCUGCCAAUCGAUUUAUAGUUGAUAAUUGGUGCUCCAUUCAUCUAUAUCCUUUUCACUUCCUUGUGAAGGAUCUUACUUCGGGGAAGGAGCUUUUUAAGGGUCCUGUCAAAGCUGGCUUCUAUCCUUUUCUUGCACCUUCUGUUGCAGACAAUCAUCAAGCUUAUGUGACCAGUACUACAGCUCCUCAGGGCAUUUGGCAUCAACGCUUAGGCCAUCCAUCAUUCAAGAUUUUACAUAAACUAGGCUCUCAGUCUCGUAUCUCUUGUUCAUAUCACAUUCAUAAAUUUGUAUGCUCUAGUUGUGCUUUAGGCAAAUGUUCUCGCAAACCAUUUACCUCUGUCUCUUGUACAACAACUAAGCCUCUUAAGCUGUUGCAUACUGAUGUAUGGGGUCCUGCGCCCGUUUCUUCUGUUAAUGGAUUUCGGUAUUAUCUUCUAUUGGUUGAUGACUUUUCCAAGUAUUCAUGGUUCUUUCCACUGCAAUAUAAAUCUGAGCUUUUCAGUACCUUUGUUCACUUCAAAUCUGUGGUUGAAAAUCUCUUGGGUUUCAAGGUUAUUACUCUGCGAUUUGAUUCUGGUGGAGAGUUUGUUAAUCAUCAAUUUUCUGAUUUCUUGAAGACACAUGGGAUCUCUCAUCAACUGAGCUGCCCUCAUACUCCAGAACAAAACGGGUGUGCUGAAAGAAAGCACCAGCAUUUAGUCGAAAUUGCUCGGACUCUUCUUACAGCAUCUCAAGUACCUCAUUCUUAUUGGGUUGAAUCCUUCUCCACGGCUCUUUAUCUCAUCAAUCGCAUGCCUACUGGUAGUAAACUCUCUCCUUGGGAAAUCUUGUUUCAUAAACCCCCAGAUUACACAACUUUGAAAGUUUUCGGUUGUAGGUGUUAUCCUUGGCUCCAACCUUACACUUCCUCUAAACUUGAUCCGAGAAGCAAAGCUUGUGUCUUUUUAGGCUAUAGCCUUAAUCAUAAAGGUUAUCGUUGUUUGGAUGCUCAAACUGGGCGAAUUUAUAUUCUCGCCAUGUUAUCUUUGAUGAAACCACAUUUCCUUUUCAUUCUUCUUCCCCUCCUGUUCGUCCUUCCUCUUCCGUUCCAUCUAUUUUCAAUUCCCCCUCCAUCCCAACCUCAUUAACAUUUACUCAUUCCUCUCCUGUCUCAUUACCUGUCUCUGAUUCCCUUUCCUCAUCUCCUUCUUCUUCUCCAGAUUCCUUACCACCCUCUUCUCUACCUAAUAUUCAUCCUAUGACCACUCGAUCAAAAUCUGGUAUUUUUAAACCGAAGGCUCUUCUAGCAACUAAGCAUCCUCUUUCAUCCUCUUUAUCUCUUGAUUACACACCUUCCACCUACCUUCAAGCCUCUAAACACUUACCCUGGCGCCAAGCUAUGCAGGAAGAGUUCAAUGCGCUUCUUCAAACUGGUACCUGGUCUUUGGUUCCUCCUACUUCCUCUCAGAAUUUAGUAGGUUGUAAAUGGGUUUUUCGUAUUAAACGGAAACCUGAUGGCUCAGUGGACAGAUACAAAGCCCGUCUGGUUGCCAAGGGGUUUCAUCAGCAACAGGGCUUAGACUACAAUGAGACAUUCAGUCCGGUUGCCAAACCAGUCACUAUCCGCAUUCUCUUAACCCUUGCAGCUAAAUUUGAUUGGUCUAUCAAACAGUUGGAUGUGAGUAAUGCUUUUCUGCAUGGCACCCUCACUGAGUCUGUUUUUAUGGUUCAACCUCCCGGGUUUGAAGAUCCUACUCAACCCCAUCAUGUCUGUCAAUUGCAUAAGUCCCUGUAUGGUCUCAAACAGGCUCCCCGAGCCUGGUAUGCCAAGUUAACAACUGCAUUACAGUCUCUUGGUUUCUCCGGAUCCAACAAUGAUCACUCUUUAUUUGUUAAGAACGGUGAUUCCGUGGUUUAUGUCUUGGUCUAUGUGGAUGAUAUCCUGGUCACUGGCCCUGAUUCUGCAGCUUGUCAAUCUGUGAUUUCUCAACUCUGUGCAUUAUUUCCUGUUAAGGAUUUGGGACUCCUGCAUUAUUUUCUUGGUAUUGAAGUCAAGCGAUCUUCCCAGGGCAUCUUCAUCAAUCAGACUAAAUAUAUUCUGGAUCUUCUCAACAAGGCACACAUGGAUGGUGCUAAACCUUGUGUUACUCCUCUGAGUACUUCUAAUUUGGAUCAUUCUUCUCCCUUACUGUCCAAUCCUGAAGACUACAGAUCCUUAGUUGGCGGUCUUCAAUACUUAACCUGGACCCGACCCGAUUUGUCCUUUGCAGUCAAUCUCGUAUGUCAGUUCAUGCACACUCCUCGGGAAUCACAUCUUCAGGUUGUCAAGCGUAUUCUCAGAUACUUGAAGGGCACGAUUACUCUUGGUCUUUGGUUUCCCAAAUGCUCUGCACCCCUCAGUAUUAAUAGUUUCUCCGAUGCCGAUUGGGCAGGUUGCACUAUUGAUCGGCGUUCCACAGGUGGUUUUUGUAUUUUUCUGGUUGAUUCUCUUAUUAGUUGGAGUGCCAAGAAGCAACCCACUGUUGCUCGAUCCUCCACUGAAGCGGAAUAUCGUUCUUUAGCUAAUACUGCUGCUGAGUUAACUUGGAUCUGCAAGCUGUUAGUUGAUAUUGGUCUCCUGCUUCCGUGCCCUCCUAAACUUUGGUGUGAUAACAUAUCUGCUCUUUCUCUUGCUAAGAAUCCUCCAUUUCAUGCUCGAACCAAGCAUGUGGAGAUUGAUUAUCACUUUAUUCGUGAGAAAGUUUUGGCCAACUCCAUCACUGUGCAUUUUGUCUGUACACAGGAUCAAACUGCCGACAUAUGUACUAAGGCUUUAUCCAAGGAUCGGUUUCUUUUUCUCCGUGACAAACUCUCACUUCGGCUACCUCAGCUUAGUUUGAGGGGGGAUGUUAAGGGUAGUUAGGUAAAGUUGUGAUAAGUUUGUUUUACUUUACUUAGCUAUUAAGAUAAGUAGUGAGGACAUAUGUAAAUGAUGGUAUAUAUAAUACCAAGUGUAAUAUUAUUCAGAAAUAUAAUUCACAAUUUUAUUUCUUCUCUCUCUCUAAACUUUCUUACUAAAUCUCUCUCUCUCUAAACUCUCACAAUAUUAUCUUCAUUGCUAACAGUUAAAAAUAUUGUCUGUAAAAUAUUAUUUCAAUUAUUGGAAUAGUAUAAGGACUUAAAAAAAUUAAAAUGCGGAAAUGUAUGAUGAAUGUACCUAUAACGGUGUUUAAUUGUUAGAAAAAGAAAAUUAUGACAAAAUUUUCUUUUUUAAUUUUCAAGUUGUUGAAAAAACACGUAGACGGGUGAAAAAUGAGUAAAUGGUAAAAAAGAAAGGAUAAACGGGUUUAAAAAUGAUAAAUGGGUAAAUAGGUACUAAACGGUUACGGUUAAAUGGGUACACGGUUAUGGGUAUGGUUAACCGUUUAUAAACGGUUAUGGGUAUGAGUAUAACCGUUUAGACAAUUACCCAACGGGUAAACGGUUAUGCGGGUAUGAAAAUAAACGGUUAUGGAUAAAUAAUCGCGGUUACCCGCCGGCCAUAAUCGUUGCCCAUCCCUAGAUACAACCGACAUGGGAAAUGAGGAUGAGAUUAGUGGACAUUAGGUGCAACGAUAUUUAAAUUAAUUAGUCGUUCACUUAAUCAUCUUUUUGGUAGUACACUACACACCCUAACAAUGGUCAAAAGUAGUGUGCUGGUGUAUCAUGUUGCCUAGCUAGCUACUUAUUCAUAUUUUGUGGUUGCGAACUGGCUUCUGGGAUUGUGGCAACACAAAAAAUAGGAAAUUCUUCAGGCAACGUGCAUGUGUGCCGAUCAAUUUAGGGUUCAAAAUUGUGGAAAUAUGAUGUACAUACUACGUAUACCGGUUCAAUUAAUCUUUUUUACUUUAUACAAGACCAACGUGCGUUGUCUUGUUAUUUGAUCGAUUAAAAUUUGUUAUCAUUGGGUAAUAUAUAUUUGUGACCUCAGCUUAUCAAGAAAUAUGAUUUAAUAAUAAUAGUUUUGUUGUCCUUUGGCUCUCUUGAUUUUAUUUUAUACAUUAAAAAUUGAUUUCACUUUCCUUCCUGCUUCCUGCUUCUGCAUGCAUACAAUAUUGCUAAGCUUUGCAUUUUGGACAUAUCGAAUGCUUUUUAACUCAACUUUUGUCUUUGAAUUACGUUGUUUUGUGGAUGCACGGGAUCGGUUGUUAGAUAUCUCGUCUUGAUCGCUGUCGUGCAAGUAGUACAUACGUAAUACAAAGAUUAGGCAGAGGUAACUUUGCGUAAUUUUUUGUGCCACUCUAUGCUGGGACUAGGAUUAUCUUCCCUCUUUUUUUUCCUCCUCUUCCCUCCCCUCCUAUUUGAAGUGAACGGUCAUGGUUAAGUCAUGUCAACAUUUUAUGUUAAUUUUACAUAUAAAAAGAAAGACAAAAUAGAGAAUGUGAGAUGAGGAGAGGGAAGUGGAUGGAAAAUGAGAGGAGAGAAUCCUAGUCCCUAUGAUGUGCACAGGUGUGCGUAUCGCCUACACAUAACGUCUUGGAGAUGAAAUCUCAGCCCGUGAUUAUGACGGUUCAUCGUACAUCCUGCAAUUAGAAAUCAUUUCAAAAUUUAAAAUUUAAAAUUAAAUAUAUAGCACCUCACGAAAACUGAACCGCACUAUGUAUGAUGAACAGUCACGAUCACUCGAUCCUUAGAAUCCCUAGAAAAAGAAUCCGACGAGGAUCAUUUUCCAUCCCAGCCUUCCACCUCUAGGGCCUUAAAACCAACGGAUGUGAUGAGUGCUAAAUCCCUUGUACGCAACCCAUGCGCAAGGGAGAAAUUCUGCCGACACUGUUUUCUCACCCUAAUCGAAUGGACUUAGCAGCUUCAAUAUACCCACCACAGGCCUAAGUUUGCAAGAAUUUAGGUCGAUUCUGAAAUAUUGAAGCCCAAAAUUAGAAGUGGUUUUAAAAUGGAAUUGAGAUUUUUCGUCACCAGACUUGACCCAGCAAUGUUGGCAACGAAUACAGUACACACCCACCCACGCCCAUCUAGGAAAUCCCUUAAUCUUAACGCACAAAACCCUUUUGGUAAUUGACAUUUUGAGAAGCUUCCUGGCUCAGAAAAUGAUAAAACCAUGCAACCAAUAAUCAUAUUUUAUUGUCUUAGUGCACUGUACAAGGGAUUAAUCAGCGGUGUCUAUACAUAACACAUGAAAGUUAACAUAUUCCUGCUCAUCUAUCUCAUAUGUAGAAGAGAUGUAAACGUUUCUAUUUGACUUUUAAUAGAUUUCUCUUCCUAUUGAGUAGGGAAACGUAAAGAGUGAGGUUCUUUACAUUGUGAUCCCGUUAAAAUUUGAAUGGUGUUGUUGUGUCCCAUAUAUUGGUCCCAUUGAGUAGAGAAAUGUCUACAUGAUUCUAUCACAAGCAAAGAACGUGCCCUGUAUCUUGAGAAUUAUGAUAGCAUAAAUAAGCCUCAGAAAGUAAGCAUCUAAGGUCACUUCAGUCUGUGACGGUCAGGGUCGACCUUGAGGGUAGCUGGGUAAGGCGAUCGCCUAAUUCCACCGACUUCUAGGGGCCCCCAAUUUUUUUAUAUGUAUGUAUUAGUAUAUAAAUACUUUUAAAGUAAGACAGAUAACACAAAAAACUUGGUGGCUAGUGGAAAAGAAGGCAUUUAUUUGGUUACCAUCUCUUGUUCGAAACAUGAUGAAGACUCCCCAAACAAGUAUUGUUUUUCCAAAUAUAAUUAGAAAGCCUAAUCUAAUAACAAUUUAGAUUAUGUAAACUCAAUUAGUACAUUUGCAUCUAAAAAUGAGAGACAUGUAUUAUCUAAUGUUUAUAUAUCUUUCUUGUUUUAGUAUUAAUUUUUAAUAGUAUUUGAUGUAGAAAUACAUUUUUUUUCAUGUAUUAGCGAAUUAUUUCUUCUACAUAUCAAUGUACAAAGAGUCGGGGGUUCGAUAAUUCUAGAGCCCCACUUUUAAAGCUCGCCUAGAGCCUUCAAAUUCUUAGGGCCGACCAUAGUGAUGGUGCCAAUUGGCCUUUCUAAUAGCUUGAAUGGAAACAGAAGUUACAACAAUACACUUGUUUUGUACCUCCUAUCAUUCUCAUGUUGGAGUGACUCCCAAAUGGUUUUGAUCAUAAGGAAUUUUCAAAAUUUUCAUAGCAUACAAAAGGAAACUAGACUUUUUCACUUAUUCGAUUUCUUAAAACUCAUUCAGCUAUGCUCUAACCGAUGAUGUUAUUCAAAUCACAUCAUUGACCUUGUUCCCAUCUGAUGUCCUAUCCUACAUAUAUUGAUUAUAAAUUUAAAAAGAGAGAGGGAGAGUCCUAGAGAGAGAGAAAGAGAGAGAAAGAGAGAGAGGGACAAUAGGAAAAAUGGGGAAGAGUCCCUUCUCUUUCAAGAGCAUUACUACUGAGUACGAUGCAAGAUUUCUAAGAACUUCACUAACUUCGUAAGACUAAUGAAAGAAGAUUUCAUAGUUGAAUUCUAAUGGUACAAAAUUGUUCUCUACGCCCAUAGAGAAUUCCAAAAACAUAUAAAUAGAGAACUGACAAGCAGCAAAUACCAGUUUCACAUUACAUUUUCAGUGUGAUGAGCUUUGUCAGUAAACUAAACAACCCAACAUCUAAGCAGUAACUAACUCAGAUGAACUUCUAGACUCUAACCAUGACUUGAUUGCAACUUUUGUUGUAAAAAACUAGCCAGCCUUGUGUGAGGCCUCAUGGAAUAGAGCAUUCGAUUCCUUCAAAUGCAACUCAAAUACACUCGCCAGACCUUUGUCUUAAUACUUAUGUUUCCCAUGUCCAUUAUUAAUUCCAAGCAACGGCAAAAACUCCUCACCGGAUUCCAAUACUCGAGAUAGGUCGUUGAUCCAAACAUAUAAUGCAGUCAAAGCUGCCCCAAGAGAGAGGCCCUUGAGAUACAAAGACUACUGGGUCUAAGACCUUGACUGUAAGCCUAUAUAUAUCUUAAGUGUGAUCCCCAAGUCUAGUAGCUCAUAGGCUCUCUCCAAGAGAUUGAGGUUCACACAAAGAUCAAUCAGGCAAUUGCAGUAAGCCUUCUUUACAUCCGAACCAAUCGAGUUAACAAGUUGUGAUGCUUCGUUCUUGAAGUUUUCACUACUUUCUUGCUUCUCCACUAAAAGUCUUACCACAUACCCUAGUUUUUCAUCAACCCUCUCAAUACAAUUCACAAGCUUGCAAAGUUCUUCCUUUGGUGUUUGAGUCAUCACAUUCAGGAGACAAUCACAGAAGCGCUCAUCUGGUGUUAUACCCAAUUCUAGGAGUUGAUCGAAUAUCUUGACAACGUCGGUGCAUUUUACCUUACCCUAACAUUGGAUGAGUGAUGUCAAAAUAAAGAUAUUUGGCUAAAAACCAGCUUCCAACAUCUCAUUCAAUGUUGUUUCUGCCUCUAUGACUUUCCACGCUACAGGAAUAUAUGGUAAUCAUGGACGAAAAUGUCCAACUGUCAGGCUUCAGUGUUUCAGAACUCUUCAUUUCUUCAAAAAUGUCAACGGCUUCGUCGGUGUAACCAACAUCAGCACACAUAGCUAAAAGGGUGUUAUAGAGAAUUACAUUUAACUCUAAUCCCUUUUCCUUCAUCUCUUUAUAAACAUUAAGAGCAUCAUCACGGUAAUGAGCUCUACCAUAGGCCCUUAAAAGACUUGCAUAGGUUACCCAAUUUGGUGAAAGCUCAUUGCUGAUCAUCUCUCGGUAAAUUUUCUUGGCCUGCCAAGGCCUCCUAGCUCUUCCCAUAGCAUCCAACAAAGUGUUAUAAAUAACCAAGUUUGGCUUAGCCCCUAUAGCUUUCAGUUCCUCAUAAACAUUCAAGCACCCAUCAAAAUUCCUCGAUUGCUCGUGAAUUUUGAUCAACGUAGAAAACGUCACUGGAUCAAUGUGCCACUUCUCAGUCCUGGCCCGAUCAUACAAACUGAAAGCCAUUUCAACCUUACCCGCUCGUCCAUAGGCGUCAAUCAUAGCCAAAUAGGUAACAUUAUCCAGAUUACACCCAAAACCAGGCAUCUUCUCAAACCACUCCACAGCCUUAUCAAGCAAAGAACACAUCCCAAAGCAACUAAUCAUAGUCGAAAAGGUUACAUUAUCGGGGUUAACACCUCUCUGGAGUAUUUCGUCGAACAGCUUCUCUGAUCUCUCCAUAUCCUUACCCUUCCUACACACUUUCAAAGUCACAUUAUACAAAAUUCUUAACACACUGAAGAGAUCAAGAACAACUCACAGAUUAUACAAAGAAGAAGAAGAAAGGGUUAGAGAAGAAGCUAUGAAUCUCAAAGAUCUGCAAUUAUAUUUCUGUAUUCUCUACCAAUACAUGGAAGUAAAAGCACACUUUAAACUUUUCUAAUACAUUGAUUUAAAAAGUAAGCUACCAAUCCCAUGUGCACAGUACAUGUCAUUUACACUCCUAUCUAAUAUCAUGUGCACAUCACAUGUUAUUUACAUUCACAUCCAAUACACAUCUCAAUCUUAAGUAGGGUAACCUAACUUAAGAUUGAAACAAUGCCUUAAGAAAUCAGGUCCGUGCAAAUCCUUUGUGAGAAUAUUUGCAAUUUGAUCUUUAGGACACAAGUACUGAACUGACAAGUCUCUUUUUUGCACCCUUUCACGAGCCAAAUGAAAGUCAGUUUCUAAAUGUUUGAUCCUGGAAUGCUAGACAGGAUUUAAGUUGAGAGCAAUUGCAGACUGAUUGUCACAAUAAAGGACUGGAAGAGAAUGCAGAAACACAUGUAAAUCUUUAAGAAGUAACCUGAUCCAAGCAAUGUAUGCAGUUGUAUGAGCUAAGGCACGAUAUUCAGCUUCUAUGGAACUCCUAGAAACAGAAGACUGCUUCUUUGAUUGCCAAGAGAUUGGAUUAUUUCCCAAGAACACCACAUAACUAGUAAUAGAACGUCUAGUGUUUAAAUCAGCCACCCAAUCAGAAUCACUAUAAGCAUUUACAAAUAAAGAUCCACCAGAAAUGUAUGUCAAUCCACAGUGAACUGUACCUUGCAAGUAUCGCAAGAUUCGUUUUACCCUGGCAAAGUGGACAUCAGUUGGAGCACUCAUGUAUUGACACAUUGUAUUAACCGCAAAGGCUAUAUUAGGACGAGUGAAAGUGAGGUAUUGGAGACCCCCAAGUAAGCUUCGAUACAAGGUAGAAUCAGACAACAAAGAACCAUCACUAGUUAAAACCUGAUUAUGAGGUUUACAAGGGGUGUAACAGUUUUUACAAUCAACCAUACCAGCCUUAUGGAUCAGAUCUUUUGCAUAUUUCCCUUGGUUGAUAAACAAAUCCCCAUUAGACUUAUAAGUAAUUUGAAUACCAAGAAAAUAAGCUAUAUGCCCCAUAUCCUUCAAAUCAAAGACCUCACUAAGAUUAGUAAUCACAUAUUACACCAACUCAGAAUUAGAGCCUGUGAUGAUUAUGUCAUCAACAUAUAGAAGUAAAAUAAUAACAUGAGUACCAUCUGUCUUCACAAAUAAACUGUAAUCCGAUAGAGAAGCUUCAAAACCAACAGUUUGUAGAUAGCCAGUGAAUUUUUCAUUCCAAGCUCGAGGAGCUUGUUUUAAACCAUACAAUGAUUUUACAAGCUUACACAUAUGAGUAGGAAACCUAGAGUCAACAAACCCUUGAGGUUGUUUCAUAUAAACCUCUUCUUGUAAUUCCCCAUGUAAAAACACAUUUUUAACAUCCAAUUGUCGAAGAUCCCAUUUGUAUGUGGCAGCUAAUGCUAAAAUUAAUCGCAUUGUAGUGUGUCUAACCACUGGACUAAACGUGUCUGUAUAAUCAAGACCUUGUUCUUGGCUAAAUCCUUGUGCUACUAACCGAGCCUUAAAUCGAGAAAUAGAGCCAUCACUAUUCCUCUUAAGCUUCUACACCCAUGUACUUCCUAUAACAUUCUUAUCUCCAGAAUUAGGGACAAGAAUCCAAGUACCUUAAGAUUGGAGAGCAUCAAACUCCUCUUGCAUUGUCAACUGCCACUGUGGAAUUUGUGAAGCUUGUUUGAAGCUUGAUGGUUUAGAAGCAUCAUGAAUAUCAGCAAGGAAUGUAAAACCCCCUGAAAAAUGAGCAUCAUCUUCUAGAGUUAAUGAAUGAACUUUAGGAAACAAAGCAGUGAGGGUAGAAUAAUCUUUUCAAGUAAUGGUGCAUGUUCGUAAUCGAGUUUAAAUGCCCUAUGAAGACACUGAACUUGUACCUGAGCUUGGUUGAAGGACAGGCAACAUGGAAUUGAAACCGGAAAGAGUAGCAUGUGUUCUAGAUCCUGGAUCAUUACUAGUAGGUGAUGAUGUACUUGUACUAGUAGUAGAUACAAAUCGAUGUUGAUGAGCUAAUGAACUGGAAGAUAAACUAUGAGACUCAAUAGUAUUAAUUGAAACCUCAGAGUUGUUAGUAGAACUAGGUAAUUGCACCACCAAAGGUCGAAUAUUCAUAGAAGAAGGUGAUGGAAUUGAACUCUAAGAAAAAGAACAAACCAUAUCCAUAUAAGGAAAGGAACUCUCAUCAUGCAAAACAUGUUUAGAAUAAGAAGCUUUCCUGUCAACAGAUUGUAGCAAAGAGCACCUUUAUAUCCAUUUGAAUAACCCAGAAAGAUGCAUUAAACAUAUCAAGAUUGCAGUUUGUGUGCAUUGUAAGGUCAAAGGUAAGGAUAAAUGGCUAAACCAAAGACCUUUAAAGUAGACAAUGCAAGUUUCUUGCCAUACAAUUGUUCAAAGGGAGAAGUCAUUUUAACACUUUACAAGGCAUUCGAUUAAUCAAGAAGGCAACAUGAACAACUGCAUAAGACUAGAACUUGUAUGGCAAUUGAGCAACUGACAUAAGAGUAAUAGCUGUUUCAAGCAAAUGGCGAUGCUUUUUCUCAACCAUGCCAUUUUGCUGAGGUGUGUAUGGACAAGAAACAUAAUGCAGGAUGCCAUUCUUAUCCAAAUUAUCCUUAAAGGAACUAUUCAAAAACUCUCCACCACUAUCAGAUUGGAAAACCUUUAUCUUAGCAUUAAAUUGAUUUGCAACAUAGGCACAAAAUUGAACAAAUGCACCAGAAACAUUUGAUUUAUUUAUGAGAGGAAAAAUCUAUACAAACCUAGUGGCUUCAUCUAGAAAAUAAACAUAGUAUCUAUAGCCUCCAACAUAAAGAACCGGAGAAGGUCCCCGAACAUUACUAUGUAUCUUGUAAAAUGGAAUAUCUAUCUUAUCAAUCAUUUCUAAAAAUGGUAAUCGACUCAUCUUACCACAAAUACAAUGAGAACAGACUUUUACAUUUUCAUUUGGACUACAAACUAUAUCAGAAUCUUUAAGCAUCACAGCAAGUAUCUCAUUAGAUGGAUGACCCAAACGUUGAUGCCACAAAGACUUUUGCAUAGUAUGUCCCAAAAAGGCAGAAGAAACACCACCUGAACUCAACAAUGUAGGAAACAUAUGUACUGGAAUUCUGAACAAUUCUUCUUUGCUAUUCUUUCCGUGAUGGAAGACUGCCCCUGUUGCCUUGUCCUGCACAAAGAACUAGACAUCAUCACAAAUAAACCAGCUAUGGUUAUCCUUGCAAAGCUUUUUAACUGAUAAAAGAUUAACAGUAAGCAUUGGCACAUGUAAGACAUUUCUAAGAUGUAAAACAUGAGAUUAAGUAAGCAAAAUAGUAUUGCCAAUAUGUUUGACUUCCAAACUUGCACCAUUGCCAACAAUUAUCUUCUCAUUUCCUUCAUAUGGAAUAACCCGGGUAAGAACAUUAACAUCAGGGCUCAUAUGAUGAGAUGCACCGGUGUCAAUGAUCCAUGAAUCACCAUUUACAACUUCAGGAGAACUUUGUGCAUUCAUAGCAAACAUAUUAGAAGGAUGAAUUGGAGAUACACUCCAAGGAUAUUGCGUAAAUGACACUGGUGAUGGAACUGUGGUGAAGAAGCAUACACAUAAACUUCAAGUGGAGAAGGAAACCCUUGAUAUGCAUAGUUAGCAGUCAAAGAAGGAGGUGGUUGAGUGCCUUGAUAAGCAUAGUUUGCUAUAUGUCUACAGUUGAGUGCAAUAUGACCCAUUUUUCCACAUAUUUGACACUCUUGAACAUUCAGACCAUUUUUAGUAUCAUUUCUAUAGAGACAUGUAAUAGCAACAUGACCCUUUCGAGAACAAAUUUGACACUCUGGAAUCUGGUCAUAUCUGUUAGAAGUAUUCGCAGACCAAGAUUGCCAUCCAUUCCUUGAAUUAUUGAACUUGGGUUUAUAGCCACCAUUGCCCCUUGGCCUGAAAUUGUUAGUAUUAUAGAAUCUCCAUCCAUUAUUACCAUUAGCAGCAGAUGGAAAGGCAGUAUUACCAUUUAAUUGAUAACUUGGAUAACCACCAUUACUAUGUGAGGAACCAAUGCCAUUAGAACCAUACCCAAAAUUAGAUGAUCCUUGAGAAGAAGAACCAAAAUUGCCCGAGAAUGGAGAGGGACUAGAAUUGUCCGAGAAUGGAGAUGAACCACUAUUGUCAGAAGUAGUAGUGGAAGAAUUGGUAUUGACAUACAUAGCAACCAUGCUUUGGACUAGAGAAUGUACCCUUGACUCAAUAGUCUUUUCAGUACCAAUUAACUGUGCUCGAAACUCUUUCAAAGUUAUUAGGGUAUCUCUAGCUAAAAUCACAGUGCGAAUUGUAUCAUAAUCAGGAGGUAAACCAGUGAGAGUAUCAAUUAUAAGAUCACUAUCAGAGACCUUUUCCCCUGCAACCUGCAAUUGAUCCUUAAUGCUUUUCAAUUGUAACAAAUACUUAUCAAUAAUAUCCCAUCUUUUUUGUAAAGUAUGAAGCUCAGCCUUCAAAUGAUUGACACUCGCACUAGAAACAUACAAGUAACGAUCUUGCAAAGCUAUCCAAGCUUCUCUAGAAGUUUUGCAUCCAACAACAUGUUAUAUAGGAUCAUCACUCAAGAUUGCAAUUAAAAGACUCAACAAAGCCAUAUCAGUCUUAAUCCAUACCUUAUAAGCAGCACUAAUCUCCGUAGUAACACCUACUUCAGGAGUGAGAACAAAUUUGGGAGGACAUACAAACUCACCAGUGACAUGAUCAAACAAAUCAUAGCCACGUAAAACAGACGAAAACUGGAAAUUCCACUUUAUGAAAUUAUCAUCGGUAAGCUUAAUAGUUAGCAUACCCAUCAAGCUUUCAAUCUUCACAUAAUUCGACAUAAUGAUCAGCAACAACAAUCUUCAAUUACCCAGCAAUAGAAACAAAUGCACAAUAUUGACAAUCUGAUGUCGGUAAGAAAAACCCAGAUGACAAAAUUCAAGAAAACUUAACUGCAAUCAAUAUAUGCUUCAGAAAUUAUCAAGAAUGAAAGAAACUCAGAUAUGGCAUCGGCCUUAAACAAUCAAGAACUUCAAGAAUUCACUAAUUCAUCAACAUAAUCGGCAUUAGCCUUCAGAUUCACAACGCAGUUACAAGGAAACAAUCAGCACCUUUGGCAUUGGCCUUGAGGCAAUUCAUCAACAAAUUCUUCAAACAACAUUCUUGUAUGGCAUCGGCCUUUAAAAUCCAAAAAAAAAAAAUCCAAUUUCAACAACUAAUCAGAAAUUCACAAGAAAGAUAUCACCUUAGCAAUAAUCGGAGCAACGAAAAACAUGAAUCAGGAGGCUGGCUCUUGAUACCAUCUUAACAUUCUGAAGAGAUCAAGAACAACUCACAGAUUAUACAAAGGAGAAAAAGCAAGGUUUAGAGAAGAAGCUAUGAAUCUCAAAGAUCUAGAAUUAUAUUUCUGUAUUCUCUACCAAUACAUGGAAGGAAAAUCACACUUUAAACUCUUCUAAUACAUUGACUUAAAUAGUAAGCUACCAAUCCCAUGUGCACAACACAUGUCAUUUACACUCCUAUCUAAUAUCAUGUGCACAUCACAUGUUAUUUACAUUCACAUCCAAUAAAAAUCACCUCCCGUUUCAGUUUCAACCUCUGCUGAAAGUAGUUAAACGCAAGAAAAGCACUUUCCGAAUUGUUCAUGUUAUUCAGAACCACCACAGCGUCGUGUUCCAAAAUAUUAUCCCCUAAACCUUUUAAAGCUUCGAAAACAUCACCUUCAAUCGGAGUGCAAGAGUUCAAAUACUCAGUGACUUUCACCAAAGAAGCGUACCUGGAAUUGUAGGACUUGUGCCGCAGCUGUGAAGCUCUGGGGCUGCUGGGAUUGACCCAGAUAUAGCUUUUCAACAAAGACCCGGAAUUUCCAUCUGGGCUCUGAAUAUUUCCAAUUUCUGGAGCUUUGGAGUUCUGGGAUUCUUCUGCAACUGGGUUUUGCAAAGAAACAUGGUGUAUUUGCAGAGAGGUUCGUGACUGAAAUUGUAGUGAAGGAAAACUGAGUCUGUGGGUGUUAAUUACAAGGCUUAAGAGUCAAAAAUCAGUCGGGGAAGAAGAAGAAGGGAGAGAGUGGGAGAGAGUUUUGGGGUUGCGGAAGAGAAUAUAGGGUGAAUAGCACAAGUGACAAGCCAUUUUCCUCACCCUGUGAGGGGAUCAUGCUUCUGCUUUGCAUUCCAGGGUAUAGGAAGAGGUUAAUUACUAUGUUUGCCUUAUGUGUAUACGUACCUUCUAAUAUUUCACAAAGGCAAACUUCACUGUCUUUUUUUUUCUCUCCUCCGUGAGAGCCCCUUCUCUCCUCCGUGAGAGCUUCUAAUGGGGGAUUAGAUCCGUACACUAUUGGCUAUAGGUCAGCGAGUGGGGUUUGGUCUUUUAUUUGGAAAGUUUGUGAGGAGCUCCCUAAUUUGUUUGCCAGAUCUGAUCUGAGUGUGGGCCGACCAAAGAACUAAAUGAAGGUACAGUAAUGUGAGCAGAGUCAUUUUUUGACUCUGGGAAGAAUCCCGCUUUGUAAAAUGAGGCAUUUAUCUCUCGUCUACUAUGGAUCCCUUCAAUGUGGUAGGGGCUGUUAGAAGUUGUAAGUGGUGAUGAGGAUUUAUUCCCACACCCACUCUCUACCUACCAGAUUUGAGGUAUUGGUGGGUGUUUAGAACAAUCCUCUGCUUUGUUAAGGUUUCAGCUGUGGUAAGGAAGGUAUGGACCACAGUUUCCAGUUCCGACUAAGCUUGAUGGCGAGUAAUGCACUCAUUUCUCUGUCAUUAAUUGUUGUUAGGGUUUCCUUUCACCAAAGCAUUAAAGUUCAGCGACAAGAUACAUCAUAGUAAUGUCCUGAUGUACGUACUUAUAUCGCUCCUAUGAGUGUUUAUUAUGAUAAGCAAUCGUAAGAGACGGAGAGCAAUCAAGAAAGGAAAAAGUUACAACCCUUACAAAAACAAAAUUCACAAGGAUUCCACACUCAAUCCCCUUCAACUCAUCUAUUCCAAUGAUCCAGAGCACAAAGCAAAGCAUGGCAGAACAAGAGAUUAAAGACUUGGUGAUUCACCUUGAUAAAUCCAUGGAUGUGUCGACCAUGGAGCAAGGGAUAGAUUUGGUUGGGGCGGCCCUACUGAGUAAAACCUUGAACAAGUGGGUGUUCAAAAUAUCCUCAGGUCUUCCUGGAAGGAACUGGGUGAAGUAGAGAUAAAAUGGGUAAAAGAGAAUACUUUCAUUAUAAAGGUGCAGGAUGAGAGCACUACUGCAAAGAUUCUAAGUCAGGUUCCAUGGGCAACAAUGGAAGAAAACUUUUAUGUAAAGAAAACUUUUAUGUAAAGAGAUGGCCAAAAGACUUGGUGCUGGAGGAAGUAGAGCUAGAAAAAAAUCCCAUUUUGGGUACAAAUCAGGGGGGUGCCACCCUGCCUCAUUUCGGAAGCCAAUGUACAACACCUCACAAAGGAAAUAAGGGAGUUCAUUGAGUUAGAAGACCCAGCUAAAACUCGUGGCUUCAUUAGCACCAGUGUAGUGGUUGAUACUCGUACCCCUUUGACUACUGGAUGCUGGCUACCAAGAGAUGAAGAGAAGGAUACCUAGGUGGAGUUUAGAUACGAGUGGUUGCAAAACUUUUGUUAUCGGUGUGGGCGAAUUGGUCAUGCGAUGAAUGAAUGCUCAUUUGAUCAAACCAGAGGAAUAACGGUUGGCUAUGGGGAGUGGACUAAAGCAGCACUUAUUCGUGAUCUGAUUGAAACGUUUGGACCUCUCAACAUCGGGAUGGGUGAGUAUAGACAACCGAGUACGGCUAGGAGAGGUACGAGGAAGGUAACCCUACAGCCUAACAAACUUGGAACCAUGGGAAGCAAUGUAGGAGAAGGAAGUAGCUAGAUUGAGGUUAGGUGUCCUAGAGGAAUAACUAGGCGCAAGAAAUGGUGGAAGCAAAGUUACAGGGUAAACCAACUUGGUAUGGAUCCUGGGUCUCUCAUCCCUCACCGGCUAACUUCCUAGGGUCACCAAUACCUGAAUCGACAGAACGCCCACCAUCAGAUGCAAGCUGGCUCGACCUCGGUGGUCAUAUAAAAGAUUAGAGAUGAUGACACUCAAACUAGGGGAGAGUUAGCUUUGAGUAGGGUGGUGGCAGAUGGUACUCAGUCUAAGAAGGGCAUAAACCUUAGCGUGAUGGAGAUCCACCAUACGCCUAUACAAAAAAAGUAAAAAAGUUGAGAAUAGUGAAGAGAGGAAAAAAAAGUGGCAGAUAAGCUUAGGAUAAUGAGCAUCAGGGAGAGGUGUCUGAUGAUGGAGGAAGCCUUAUAUACGAAGGAAGAGUCCGAAGAAAUCUGAAAUGAAUACAAGGAAAUGUGGGAAUUCAUAGAGAACGUUUCGAAGACUGCGAGGAGGAACCCGCAGGAAAGACGUGAAUGGUCGAGCUCUCAAGGCGGUGGUGGCUGGCCUAAUACAACUGCACGAUCACCAUGACACACCUAUUUUGGAAUUGUCGUGGUCUUGGGUCGGACAUGGUAGUUUGAGCCCUACAUGGGCUGAUUAGGAAAUACAGACCUUCUAUGAUCUUUCUCUUAGAGACUAAAAUGAAAUAUCAUAGAAUUGACGGUGUUCGUAGGAGAAUGGGUUCCCAAAUGGUUUCAGGGUUGGUAUGGCUAGUGGUCUCAACCUAUGGUGGGAUGAUUUAAUGGAGGUUAAGAUUAUGUACUCUUCAAAGCAUGCCAUUGAUGCAUGAGCCAUAGGAAUGGGUGAAAUCAGGUGGUCCAGGGUGACAGGAAUUUAUGGUACGGCUUACAGAGAGGAGAAAUACCAGUUCUAGGGUUGGAUGAACACCUUCUUUAAACCUACUUACAUUCCCUGGUUGUGUGGAGGAGAUUUUAAUGAGUUUAUCUGGGAGUCUGAAAAAUCGGGAGGCGCAUCGGUUCUGUACAACCGCCCUUAUUUCUUAGCACACUUCAUGGAGGGCUUAGAAUUAAUUGACCUUGACUUCAAUGGACUUCCCUUCACUUGGCAUGGGACACGAAAUGGGACUCUUGUGGAGGUUAGGCUUGAUCGAGGGCUGAGCAACUGGUGUUGGCAAGAUUGUUGGUCUAACACCUCUGUUACCCAUGGCACUAUAGUGGGCUCAUACCACUGCUCGCUCAUAAUCUAACAUGACCCUAACCAGGCUAAAUGUAAGAAACAUUUUCGCUUUGAAACCUUCUGGGCAAAAGAAAAGGAUUGCAAGCAGGUAUUGAGACAUGCUGGCAUCGUGCUUGUAAUGGUGAUCAUGUUUCUAGGUGGCAGCUGAAGCUUAAUGAUUGCAGAUCCAGGUUGAUCAGAUAGAGCAAACAAAAAUUUAAGGUGUGUGUGGGUGAAAUUGAGGAGCUAAUGGGCCAACUCGAGGAGUUGAAAAAUAAUUGGGCAACAAAUGCGAAUAGAAUCCAGGAAAUUACCAUUAGGGUUGACAAGCUUCUGGAACAAGAUGAGCGUUUUUUGCAGCAAAGGUCUCUGGUCAAAUGCCUUCGUAAUGGUGAUGCUAAUACUGCAUUCUUUCACCAAUCAACCCUGCAAAUGAGGAGAAGAAAUAAUGUGGUGAAGCUCAGGAAGGAUGAUAGCGUGUGGAAGGAGAACCCAAACGGUCUUAAAUAUUUAAUUGAUGAAUACUUUAUCAACCUGUUUAAAUCUGAGGGUCCUAGGGAGCGGGGUCAGGUGCUGGAGUGUAUCACUCUGUCGGUGACUGAUGAAAUGAACCACACUUUAUUAUUACGGAUCACCCAUGAGGAAAUUGCUAUUGCUGCUCGGCAAAUGGGUGACUUAAAGGCCCCGGGCCUUGAUGACUUUCAAGGAAUUUUCUACCAUUCCUAUUGGGACUGUAUUGUGAAGGAGGUUAAUGAGCUGGUUAUGUACUUGUCGAAAUGAGAUACUUGUCCUUGGCAACUUAGUGCGACCCAUAUUGUUUUGAUCCCAAAGGUUCCGAACCCGGAAUUUGUAUCUUAAUUCCGACCAAUUAGCUUAUGUAACUUCUCCUAUAAGGUGCUCUCCAAAGUCUUAUUAAAUAGACUCAAGCCUUUACUCCCCAAGAUUUUUUCUCCUAUACAGAAUGCUUUUGUUGGGGGAAGACAAAUACAGGACAACAUUGGGAUAGCGCAUGAGCUUUUCCACUUUCUUAAGCUCAGGAAAACAAAGUCUAAGUUCGAACUGGGUAUUAAACUGGACAUGCACAAAGCCUAUAACCGUGUGGAUUGGGAUUUCCUGGAUGCGGUUAUGGAAAUGAUGGGAUUUCACAGUACUUAGCAGAGGAUUAUCAUGGGGUGUGUGACCUCGGUUAAUUUUGCUAUGCUUCUCAAUGGUCAACCUGGAAAUAAAUUCGUCCCUUCGCGGGGGCUUUGACAGGGCGACCCUCUUUCCCUGUACCUAUUUCUAAUGGUCAAUGAUGUCCUUUCUAGGAUGACAUGCCGUUCUACGGAGACCAACAACAUGCAGGGGUACGGAACAGCCAGCAUGACCCUCCCAUUUCCCACAUCUUCUUUGCUGAUGAUACUCUCAUUUUCUUAAAGGCUGAUAGGUCAAACUGCCAGGUGUUGGGCCAGCUCAGUGAGGAUUUCUGUGCUGCCUCUGGUCAGGCCGUAAACUUACAGAAAUCUUGUGUGUUUUUUAGUGCCAACAUUCAUGCUGCAAUUUCAGAGGAGUUGGGAAAUAUUCUUGGGGUUCCGGUUGUAUCGGAUCCUGGGACUUACUUGGGAGUUCUUGCUAUUUGGGGUCGAUCCAAGAGUCGUGGCCUUGCUUAUGUGAAAGGUAGAAUGUUUGGAAAAAUCCAAUGAUGGAAGCAGAGCACUUUAUCCCAAGCUGGCAAAGAGGUUAUGAUAAAAUAUGUGGCCCAAGCCAUACCUGCUUACCCAAUGAAUUUAUUUAAAUUUGCAGAUGCAGUCUGUAAUGAAUUGGACUCCAUGAUUAUGGGGUUCUGAUGGGAGCAGAAACAUGGUGAAAAAAAAAAAUCAUUGGGUGUCUAAAUGCAAAUUAGGCCACCCAAAGAAUAUUGGAGGUUUGGGUUUCAGAAGUUGCAAAAGUUUUAAUGAUGCUCUCCUUGCUAAGCAAUGUUGGAGGCUGAUUGUGGAACCAAAUUCGAUAUGGCCUCUGUUCUCAAGGCCAAGUACUAACAUUGCUAUUUUCUAGACGCCAAACGGGGAAGUCGUGCUUCGUGGGCUUGGACUAGUUUACUCGUGGGUAUAGAUGUUAUCAUGCAAAGGGCUAAGUGGCAGAUUUCUGAUGGGCGUGAGGUGCGGUUUUGGAUUAAUCGUUAGCUGAUAAGCUCAUAUUUAUAUAUAUUUUACAUCAUAUUCACUUAUUUUUUCUUAGUUAGUUCCUUAUAUUUUUGAGCUAUUUACUUUGUUUUUGUGUUUUGUAGGAUUUGUCAAGCAAAGAAAAGAAAAAUAGCACAAGUGUGAUUUUAAGUAACAAAUUCGUCAAAACUGCGUGUGUAGGUCAGCUGACUUUGGAAGCAAUUUGCGAACAGCUCAAAAUGAAUUAGAGAAUGAGCCUUAUAUUCUUGGAAAGCUACGGAUGUCUAUUUUCUGGAGCAUUUCACAGAUUGCUAAUAUCAUUUUUCUAGAAGACGUUAUGGCCGUUUUAACACUAAAACGUUCCUAAGAGGCUGAGCAGUUUGUAACUGACAAGAAAGCAUUGAAAGCAAUAAAUCCAAUAAAUCUAGCAGCCAAAACUGAUGCAGCAAAGAACAAGCCAGCUGACACCUAUUCAAAUAUAAGAGGAAAUGAAAUUAAAGAUGAGGAUUAAAUGGGAGUAAUUGGCAUAAAGGUUGCCCAAAGAGUUACAAUUGUUUUACCAAUUUCUCUCACUUAUUGUCAACACUAAAUGGCUGUUAGUGGGGUGAGUUAAGGAGAAGAAAUAAGGUAGCAAGCAAGAAGAAAAAGGUUGCAGGUUGCGGCGGCAAAGAUAGAGAAAAAAAGAUAGAAAAAAAGGAAAGGAAGGAAAAAAGGCAAGGCUGCUGCGUUGGGGAAGGAAUGAAAGGAAUGAGGAAAUCUUGGCAUUCUCUUCUUUCGGUUUUAUCUUCUCAAACUCAUGUUUUUCUUUUGGUUUUAUUUGAGAAUUAUGUGUAACUAAAUUUUUAGAAGUUAUGGGCUGUUUUGAAGCCUCGAAUAUGAUUGCAAGUUUGUUAUGACAUUUCGUUUGAAUUACUUUUAUGAAUGGAUGAAAAUUGGUUCACUACUUGUCUUAUUGAUGAAUUCUUUAUUUGUUUUCUAUGGAUGCAUACGUAGUAAGCAUAUCUAGGAUUCUAACGCUAUGAAUAUGUGUGUGCCUGCCCUGUCGAAUGAGGACCUACAUAUGUUCUAGAGUAGUACUUGUUAAUUGCGAUUAACAUGUGAACCAAUUUCUAGGAUAAGUAAGACAACGCCAGUACUUACGAUGCCUUGUGAUAACUCAAACUCUUUUCGUUCUUAAUGAUUUCUACUUGUUAAAUCUAUGAACACGUCAUUCUAGAUUGCAUGCUAGGGACUAAGUUAAGUUGAAAAUGUCAUUCUCUUAACAUACUACGUAACAAAGAGUACUAAGUUGAGUUCUAACAUUGAGCGAACUUGAGCAUCUUCAUCUGGAAAUAAAAGGAAUUUGAAUAAAACAUAACAUGUUUGCAUGAUUAUUUGGUGGUGGAUAACAAUAACCCUAACUCGUUUUUCUUAAUUUGUGAACUAUUUAAAAUUUGCUUAUGUCAUGUUUUUGUUCGAUUUAAUUUUAAUAUAAAAUCAACUCCAAAAAUCCCAAAACUUUGUAUGAGUGUAGCUCUGUCUGUCUAGUGUUUUCAUAUAAAAUUUCGUAGACUUUAGAUAUGUUUAAGUCAGUCUAAUAAUUAUUUUUCCGUGGCUGGUCAGUAGGGACAGUAGCCCAGUUUUUGUGACAUUUUAAGUAGUUAGAUAAAACAAUCUUCUGCGGAAAAUACCCUUAUUUUCAUAUGCUACAAUUGACAAAUCUUAAUGUUAAUAAGGAAAAUAAAUAAGACAUUUGUGUGCUACUUUGUGGUGUGCACUUAAUCCUAUCAUUAGCUCAUCUCCCUCCCUUUGGGCCAUCAUAUUCCGAGGGGACCGGUGCAUGUUACACUAGAUACUCAGGUUCAAACCUUUCUGUGCCCAAUCACUAGAUCGUGGGACUUGAACUCUCUCCUCCCAUUCCUCUUCACAAAGGAAUUGGAUGAUGUCACAGGCUCUGAUGUGGGUAUUGGUUCUGGAUUGGAUCGUUUCAUCUGGCAUGAGACGAAGACUGGUGUAUACACGGUGAAAUCUGGGUACCUCUCGUCCAUCCACGUCCUGCACCACUCCUAAGUGUGUGUGGAAAAUUAUUUGGAAGCUUCAAACCCCGGCAAAAAUCAGGUUUUUUCUAUGGAAGACUUUCCACCGCUCUCUUGCCACGAUGGAUGACUUGUUCAUUCGUCAAUCUACCCCUAACCCGAUGUGCCCGAUCUGCCUUUUCCAAGAAGAGUCAAUUGUGCACCUUCUUUUACUUUGCCCAUGGGUUGAAAAAUCUGGUUUGGAUGGAUGUUGAAUUAUAAGAUUAACAGAAGUGAGGUCUCAAGUUGGGUGGAUUGGUUUGAUCAAGUGGCGUUCAUUCGGUUGGGUGCUAAUGGGGACUGGUUGCACGUGCUCUUUUAUAUUGCCUUCACUUGUUGGCACAUAUGGAAGUCUCGCUGCAAUUUUGUGUUUAAUCAGAGACUAAUUAACCCUACCCAAGUGGUUUGUGCUAUUAAUAACUCGACGGGAGCCUUUACUGCUGCUACCCGGCAACUGCAUCAUCUCUCGUCUCUUAUCCCUCUUGUGGAUGUUAGUCCAUCUAGGUGGUCCCCCCUUCCACGAUGUACAAGAAAAUCAAUGUUAAUGCUAAUUGGUCGAAGCAGACACGUUCGGCUUUGUGGGAAUUAUGGUAAGGGAUGAUGGUGGCUCUUUUAUGGCAGCGGUCAGGUAUGCUUUUCGAUCCCCUUGUGUUGGUGCUGCUGAGGCAAUGGCUAUCCUCAAGGGGUGUGAAUUUGGUCUGUCGCUGAGGCUCAAGAAGGUGGUUGUGGAAUCUGACUCGACGGAGUUUAUCUCGUCCCUGGUGGACUCGCAAGAUAAUGGCAAAUGGGAAGCUUUCCCUUACUUAGUAAAAGCUAAAAAUCUAGGGGAUUCUUUCCAAAAUUGUCGCUGGUCUUGGAUCUUAAAACUAGCCAACAUGGCGGAUGAUGCUUUGGCGUUGCAAAGUUGCUCGGAGAUGUGCGAUGUUUUUUGGGUCAACAGACCCCCAUCUUCGCUUGUUCACAUCCUUCACAACGACGGGAUACCUUGCCCUGCCGGGGGGCUUUGGAGAGGGUGACGCAAUAACUAGGUUACUGCGUCUCCAUUGUAACUAUCUCCUUUGCCCUAUGUCUUUUCUUUACUUUUGUUUUGCUUGCCUCCUUGUAGGCUUUCUUGUUUCGUUUGGAAUCUUUGCCCGGUUUGAAUCUACUGUUUCCAAAAUAAAUAAAAUAAAAGGAGAAUGGAAUGAAAAGUAGGCCUAGGAGUAGUUCUUCUUCCUGGGAACAAAUUAUUACACACGUAUCUAGGUUGUUGCUGAUGAUGCUCUCUCUCUCUCUUGUUGACAUUUGGAGGGGCUGAGGGAACAAGGAUUUGUUUAGUUUAAAGUAAUGUUAGAGAAAUUAAAUUUGUAAACAAAAUUUGCAAAUUAAAUGAUGUGUUACUAAUAAGAAAUUAGCACAUUUAUAAAUGUUUAAGUAAUAAUCCAAUCAUCAAUUUUGAUGCCAUUUAGUUUACAAAAUUUUGUCUACAAUUUUAGUCUCCCUAGUAUUACUCUUUAGUUUAUGGUGGAAUCUAACGAUGUGGGGAUUGAAAAUAAUGAUAUAGUUGAGCAUUGUUAGACGAGGAAUGAUAGCUAAAUUUCAUUCUUUAGUUUACUCAUAUGAGCCCAGGGAGGCCAAGGGUUUGCUUAUGGGUGGGAAAUUUACAUGAAUUGGAACACACUAUCCUAACCAACUAGUGUAACUCAUAUAAGUCCCGGGAAGCCAAGAGAUUGCUUCUGAGUGGGUUUUUGUUUUUGGUAAAGAAAGAAAAAAAAAGUAGUUUAGAUUAGAACAAGCGAGUUGAAUCUGGUAGGAGAAAAAAAAAGAUUAGCUUUUGAAAAUAAAGGUAAAUAUAGAAAAAUAAUAAUGAGUUUUUUCAAAAGAAAUAAAAAUUGUGUUUAUGUUAAUAGAAUUCAUGUUACACUUAAUAAAUGAGAAAGAUAAGUGAAAAUGCAAAUAAGGAAGGUAGCUAGAUUCUUCUAUUCACACCUCCUGCUUCUGGGUGGGUUUUUGUUUUUGGUAAAGAAAGAAAAAAAAGUAGUUUAGAUUAGAACAAGCGAGUUGAAUCUGGUAGGAGAGAAAAGAUUAGCUUUUGAAAAUAAAGGUAAAUAUAGAAAAAUAAUAAUGAGUUUUUUCAAAAUAAAUAAAAAUUGUGUUUAUGUUAAUAGAAUUCAUGUUACACUUAAUAAAUGAGAAAGAUAAGUGAAAAAUGCAAAUGAGGAAGGUAACUAGAUUCUUCUGUUCACACCUCCUCCUCAAUUCCACUCUUCACUAAUCGCUUAGUAGUAGUUGAUGAAAAUCAACUUGCGAAAUAGGAAAUAACUAAUAGUCUAUAUUAAUGAUAUAAUGAACAAAUUAACGUGAUUGUGACUUGAAAACCACCAAGAUCAACAACCAACUUUAUCAUUCACUUAACAAUAUAUGGCCCUCCUAUAAUAUUAAUAUCAAACAACAAACACUGCUAAAAUAUUAUCCCGAGAUUGAAGAAGGUGUCACGGUCCAACAAGAUGAUCGAUGAUUUACAUGAUUGUGCAAGCUGAGGGAUUUUCUUCAUAAUACCCUCUGUUGCCACUGCCGUAACUGUCAUACACAGGCCUCCCAUAAUAACCAUCAUACUGGAUGUACGGGGAUGGCCCCCCGCCAUAACCACUAUGCCACGACCCACAUGCACGCCCCUGGUAACAAUCCAUACAACACGCUUGAACAGGCGGUGGGUACCCUGGCACAUAAGGAACCGGCUGCAUAUAAAGAGGAGAAUGCUUCACUAGCUCCAUCUGUGGUAUAGACUUCUGGACCUCCUUGGGUGUGUCUGCCGGUUUAGAUUUGUCGGCCUCUUUGGGUUUUUCUAUGCCUUUAGGUUUGUCUGCAAGCUGUGGCUUGGGCUUCUCGGGCUCUUUGAUCUCGAUGCUUUUGAUAACACUCCCACCUUUGUAGCAAAUCUUGUCCCUUAUCUUUUCAGGACUGCAGCAUACCACUUUGAUCACCACUUGGUUUUGCUUCUCGUCAUAUAUCUGAUCUUGUAUUUCUCUUGUUCACAAACACACAUUAAUUUACUCAGUUUACAUUUAAUCUAAAUUAGUCUUAUUUUCCUAAAAAGAACAAACUUUAACUAUGGUUUUUCAUCAAAUAACUAUAGACGAAUCAAGGAGAAGAGAGACUCACGAGGGAAUUUACGAAGAACUUUUUUGACCUUCUUGUAGCAUUUGUGACACUGAAGAUCCACCUUCAGCACCAUAAUCGUAACCUGAAUUAUCCAUUUUUAAUAUUAAUAGAAAAAAUAUGUACAUUAACCAAAGAUUGACAAGAAUGAAUCUUCAGAAAAUAUAUAAAUAUACAGAAGAUUGUUGUACAAAAGUGUAGACAAAAAGAAAUGGAACAUUGCUGCUGGACAAUCAGGGUUCUGACUGACUGAGAGGGAAGAACCAUGGUGAAGGUAUGUGGCAAAAUCAGUAACAAAGAGAGAGAGAGAGAGAGAGAGAGAGAGAGAGAGAGAGAGGCGAAAAACAACAAAAUAGCACAGAGGAGGGGACAUGGGUUCUUAUUAGGAUAUAAAUAAAAGAAUGGGAACCACAAAAACUUAAACAAGAGCUUAAAGCCUUUUAGUUUUAGCCGUACAAAUCCUCAUUUGGGUUAUCUGCUUAUCCUUGGAAGAAGAAAAUGAAGAGAACGCAAACUAUACCAAAUAUUACGUACCUUUUCCUUUUCCCCCAUUGCAGUGAGUAGUGGAAUGAGAACUUCUCAACUAAAAUGAUUGAAUGGGACUACUGCUCUCAUGAAACCGACUUUUAUAAUUAUUAGUUAUGAGCACGCACCAUGUGUGUGAACAAUUUCAUUUUGUUUUUUGUUUAUUAAGAAGUGUGAUUAGUUUUUAAAAUUUUAAAAAGAGUAUGAAAAAAUGAUGAUGGAACAAUUUCUCUUAAUAAGUGCAUAUUUUAUCUUAAUAUUACAUAAUUACUAUUUUGCCCUCCUUAUGUAAAUAUUAUGUAUCAAAAGUGAGGGUAAAAUAGGAAAAAUAGAGAUAUGUUUGUCAUUUUCUCAAAAGAUACAAAAUUACUAUUUUGCCCUCCUUAUGUAAGUAUUGUGUAUUAAAAGUGAGAGAAAAAUUGGAAAAAUGUGCAAAAGAUACAAAAUUACUAUUUUGCACUCCAUAUGUAAGUAUUGUGUAUGAAAAGUGAGGCCAAAAUUGGAAAAAAGGGGGAAAAAGUUGACAACAAGGGUUUUCUUAAUAUAUACUAUAGAUAUAUACAUAUUUCUACAAAAAUAUAUAAAAAUAGGAAUAUAAUUCGGUGGAACAAAGCAAAGAGAAAGAGAGAAGGAGAGAGCAAUAUAGGAAGGUUGAUUUCAUGCUAUAUGGUGGACAAAAGUUUCAUUGUAACUGUAAUACGAGUGGUAUACCAUGUAUAAGUGGUGAGAAAUUUUAUUUUUUAAGUUAUUAAUUUUUUUAACACAAGUAGCUCAUUAUUUUUAUAAUAACAUGUACUGUAUCAUUCUGUAUUCUGAACACGCUGAAAGAUCUCUACAUGAUUGAGGGUUUUCGUUAUACGAAGAUAGUUUCUAAUGAUCGCUAAAAAUUGCACUUUCUUGCACAUGUAUGUGCUGGCUUUGAUUCACCCACCUCAACUUCCAUACUUGCCAUGUAUGUGCUAAUAUUAUUUUAAGUAAAUGAGUCCAUGAUCAAAAUAAAAUUACAUCCUAAGUUUAUUAAUUAUUUAAGUUCACAUAGAGUUUGGUGGAGAGGAGAGCUGCCAAUAUUAUUUCAAGAUCGCCAAAUUAAUGGAGAAAAAACUAUAUUGUAAGGUCGACAGUUUGGUCAAGUUCACUUAUGGAUCAUGCACCCCCACAUGGCACCUGUAAAUUCCUCCAGUUGUCCCUAGCUCGGUGCCACCCAUCUUUGACUAGCUACUUGAAGUUUGGUUUGCUAAUCCAAACCGGUGAAGACACGUCUAGUGAUUAGGAUAACGACUUGGAUGCAACUGAUACUUCAUCAUUUUAGAACCAGGGGUUUCGAUUUACCGGCAUACGUACAUACAUGACGCAUCACAUAUAUGUGGAAUUUGGCGUGGAAAAAAUGAAUGUAAUACCCCUAUUACCUGCAAUGUACUGGAGAGAGAAUGGAUGAUCAAAUUUCAAAAAGCGUCGGCUCCAGACGACAGAAGUGUGGCUACUGCCUAAGAAAACCGCUCCAAGUGUCCCAAUUUCAUAGAGGUGGGCUGGCUCACACGAUAGUGGUUGAUCAAUCCGAUUUGAUCUUUUCUUCUUGUUUAAGGGUUUAGCGGUCCAUUUAUUAAGUGCAUCACAGCUCAUUCAUUUGUACGUAUGACUUGAUAUGUUUCGUGUUGAUACAACCGACAUGGGAAAUGAGGAUGAGAUUAGUGGACAUUAGGUGUGUCGAUAUUUAAAUGUGAAAGUUUUAACGAAAAAUUCACGGUAUUGUUCAUUUUAACGAAAAAUCACAUUUGUACACUAAAAAAUCAAACAUGGUACCAUGCACUUUACUCUUUAUUUUAUCUUUAUCGUUAAAACUCUUUUCAAACCAUUUUCAUUGAUUUUCCUUUUAAAUUAAUUACUUGUUUACUUAAUUAUCUUUUUGGUGCAAUGAGGUUUCAAUACUAGAAAGUAGUACACUAUGUUAGAGUAAAUGUAGAAAUAUAGAAAAUCAACUAAAGAAUGACUUUGAGGUACGACUUGAAUCGUUUCUUUAAAUUGUUAUUUGUCCACACUCGAAUGUUUGCUAAAGGGUUAUUGGCAAAUCACUUCCAGGAUACAACAAAGUAUGAAAUAUUCGAUUAGCAAAACCGAAUUGUAUUCCCUUAGAAAUAACUAGAAAGAAAUUGUAUGAAUGUGAUAUGGAGAAAGAAGAGAGCAAAGAAAUUGUGUAGACAACAAAUUUCUCAAAGAAUUUUCUCUUCUUCCAAUGUUAUCAAUAUAUAGAGAGAAUUGCACAUGUUCAAGUUAAUCGAAAGUACAUAACUUUUGAAGUCAUAUUGGUUCAAUAUGUCAUAUCUGUUUGAACAUAUACAAAGCAUUAUCCAAAGGGCAUUUUAAUGAGUAUAUCUGAUGAAGAGCACCAAUUACCUAAAGAUCAUAUUUGCUAGGAAAAUGAUUACACUUGUUGACCAUGAGUCAUGUCUUUUUUGGCAACAAUCAAAAGAUGCGGUUUUUAAAUUGAAGAGAUGUGAUUGUUGGGAAGGAAUCCAACUCUAUUCUCUGCCAAUACAAAACGCACGCAUAUGCAUAUACAUAUUUUAUAUAUCUAUAUAUAUAUAUAUAUAUAUAUAUAUAUAUAUAUUCUUGAAAUAUCCUACAAUCAAGGUUUUAAAAAUCGCUAGGCGCUAAUCGGGCGGCGGGCUGGGGCCUAGCGCCUAGGCGGGGCCUAGGCGGGAGCCUAGGCGGACUAGGCGGAUUUAAGUAAAUCUAUCAUAUUUCAAGUAAAUAAGUGUCUGCUUCUACUUGAAAUAUAUAUAAUUUCAUCAUAAACUACAAAACAGAAUGCAUAUAUAUCAUGAAGUAUUGGAACAUAAUGAAAACAUGUGAAAUAAGAAUAUAAUGUUUGUUCAUUCAAGUAUGCAACAAGUCUCUUACAAUUUAUUGGAAAAAAACAAAAUACAAAAUGAAAGUUAUGUAUUUUCUGUCUAAGUGAGUUGCAACCUAGGCGGGUCUAGGCGGGCUAGGCGGAUGCCUAGGCGGGCUAGGCGGGUGCCUAGGUGGUCUAGGCGGUGGGCUGGGGCCUAGGCAUUAAUCGGGGCGGUGGGCUAGGGCCUAGCGCCUAGGUGGGGCCUAGCGCCUAGGUGGGGCCUAGGCGGGGAUUUUUAGAACAGUGCCUACAAUACACACCCUAACAAUGGUCAAAAGUAGUGUGCUGGUGUAUCAUGUUGCCUAGCUAGCUACAUAUUCAUAUUUUGUGGUUGCGAACUGGCUUAUGGGAUUGAGGCAACACAAAAAAUGGUGAGUUUUUCAGGCAACACUCAUGUGUGCCGAUCAAUUAAGAGUUCAAAAUCGUGAAAAUAUAAUGUACGUACUACGUAUACCAGUUCAAUAAAUCUUUUUUACUUUAUACAAGACCAACGUGCUUUGUCUUGUUAUUUGAUUGACUAAAGUUGUUAUCGUUUGCUAAUAUAUAUUUGUGACCUCAGCUUAUCAAGAAAUAUGAUUUAAUAAUAAUAGUUUUGUUGUCCUUUUGGCUCUCUUAAUUUGAUUCUAAACAUUAAAAUUUGAUUUCACUUUCCUGCCUGCUUCCUGCUUCUGCAUGCAUACAAUAUUGCUAAGUUUUGCAUUUUGGACAUAUGGAAUGUUUUGUAACUCAACUUUUGUCCUUGAAUUACGUUGUUUUGUGGAUGCACGGGAUCGGUGGUUAGAGAUCUCGUCUUGAUCGCUGUCAUGCAAAUAGUACAUACGUAAUACAAAGAUUAGGCAGAGGUAACUUUGUGUAAUUUCUGGUGCCGCUCUAUGCUGUGCGCAGGUGUGCGCAUCGCCUGCGCGUAACGUCUUGGAGAUGAAAUCCCAGCCUUCCACCUCUAAGGCCUUAAAACCAACGGAUGUGAUGAGUGUUAAAUCCCUUGUACGCAACCCAUGCGCAGGGGAGAAAUUCAGCCGACACUGUUUUCUCACCCUGAUCGAAUGGACUUAUAGCAGCUUCAAUAUACCCACCACAGGCCUAAGUUUGUAGAUAAAAUCACCACUAAGAAUUUGGGCCGAUUCUGAAAUAUCGAAGCCCAAACUUAGAAGAGAUUUUAAAACGGGAUUUGAGAUUUUUCGUCACCAGACUUGACCCAGCGAAGCUGGCAACGAAUACAGUACACACCCACCCACGCCCACCUAGGAAAUCCCUUAAUCUUAACGCACAAAACCCUUUGGGAAAUUGACAUUUUGAGAAAAACAUUUUGAAAAGCUUCCUGGCUCAGAAAAUGAUAAAACCAUGCAACCCAUAACCAUAUUUUAUUGUGUUAGUGCUUUGUACAAAGGAUUAAUCACCGGUGUUUAUAUAACACAUGAAAGUAACAUAUUCCUGCUCAUCUAUCUCAUUUGUAGAAGAGAUGUAAACGUUUCUAUUCGACUUUUAAUAGAUUUCUCUUCCCAUUGAGUAGAGAAACGUAAAGAGUGAGGUUCUCAUUUUGAUCCCGUUAAAAUUUGAAUGGUGUUGUUGUGUCCCAUAUAUUGGUCCCAUUGAGUACAGAAAUGUCUACAUGAUUCUAUCACAAGCAAAUAACAUGCCAUGUAUCUUGAGAAUUAUGAUAGCAGAAAUAAGCCUUAGAAAGUAAGCAUCUAAGGUCACUUCAGUCUGUGAAGGUCAGGGCCGGCCUUACGGGUAGCCAGGUAAGGCAAUCGCCUAAUUCCCCCAACUUCUAGGGGCCCCCAAAUUUUUUAUAUGUAUGUAUUAGUAUAUAAAUACUUUUAAAGUAAGACGGAUAACACAAAAAACUUGGUGGCGUAGUGGAAAGGAAAGCAUUUAUUUGGUUACCAUCUCCUGUUCAAAACAUGAUGAAGACUCCCCAAACAAGUAUUGUUUUUCCAAAUAUAAUUAGAAAGCCUAAUCUAAUAACAAUUUAGAUUAUGUAAACUCAAUUAGUACAUAUGCAUCUAAAAAUGCGAGACGGAUUCUCUAAUAUUUAUAUAUCUUUCUUGUUUUAGUAUUAAUUUUUAAUAGUAUUUGAUGUAGAAAUACAUUUUUUUUUCAUGUAUUAGCGAAUUAUUUAUUCUACAUAUCAAUGUACAAAGAGUCGGGGGUUCGAUAAUUCUAGAGCCCCACUUUUAAAGCUCGCCUAGAGCCUUCAAAUUCUCAAGCUGGCCUUGGUGAUGGUGCCAAUUGGCCUUUCCUAUAGCUUGAAUGGAAACUGAAGUUACAACCAUACACUUGUUUUGUACCUCCUGUCAUUCUCAUAUUGGAGUGACUCCCAAAUGGUUUCGUAGCAUACAAAAGGAAACUGGACUUUUUCACUUCGAUUUCUUAAAACUCAUUUAGCUAUGAUCUAACCGAUGAUGUUAUUCAAAUCACAUCAUCGACCUUGUUUCCAUCUGAUGUCCUAUCCUACAUAUAUUGAUUAUAAAUUUAAAAAGAGAGGGGGAGAGUCCAAGAGAGAGAGAGAGAGGGACAAUAGGAAAAAUGGGGAAGGGUCCCUUCCCUUCUCUUUCAAGCGCAUUACUAUUGAGUACGAUGCAAGAUUUCUAAGAACUUCACCAACUUUGUAAGACUAAUGAGAGAAGAUUUCAUAGUUCAAUUCUAAUGGUACAAAACUGUUCUCUACGCCCAGAGAGAAUUCCAAAAACAUAUAAUAGAGAACUGAGAAGCAGAAAAUACCUGUUUCACGUUACAUUUUCAGUGUGAUGAGCUUUGUCAGUAAACUAAACAGCCCAACAUCUAAAGCAGUAACUAACUCAGAUGAACUUCUAGACUCUAACCAUGACUUGACUGCAACUUUUGUUGUAAAAAACCAGCCAGCCUUGUCUAAGGCCUCAUGGAAUGGAUCAUUCAAUUCCUUCAAAUGCGACUAAAAUACACCCGCCAGACCUUUGUCUGAAUACUUAUAUUUCCCAUAUCCAGUAUUAAUUCCAAGCAACGGCAGAAGCUCCUCACCGGAUUCCAAUACCCGAGAUAGGUCAUUAAUCCAAACAUGUAAUGCAGUCAGAGCUGCCCCAAGAGAGAGGCCAUUGAGAUACAAAGACCACUGGGUCUGCGACCUUGACUGUAAGCCUAUAUAUAUCUGAAGUGUGAUCCCCAAGUCUAGUAGCUCACAGGCUCUCUCCAAGAGAUUGAGGUUCACACAAAGAUCAAUCAGGCAAUUGGAGUAAGCCUUCUUUACAUCCGAACCAAUCGAGUUAAAAAGUUGUGAAUCUUCGUUGUUGAACUUUUCACUACUUUCUUGCUUCUCCACUAAAAGUUUUAACACAUACCCUAGUUUUUCAUCAGCCCUCUCAAUGCAAUUCACAAGCUUGCAAAGUUCUUCCUUUGGUGUUUAAGUCAUCACAUUCAGGAGACAACCACAGAAACGCUCAUCUGGUGUUAUACCCAAUUCUAGGAGUUGAUUGAAUAUCUUGACAACGUCAUCAGUACGUUUUGCUUUACCCUAGCAUUGGAUGAGUGAUGUCAAAAUAAAGAUAUUUGGCUCAAAACCAACUUCCAACAUCUCAUUCAAUGUUGCUUCUGCCUCUAUGACUUUCCACACUACAAGAAUACAUGGUAAUCAUGGACGAAAAGGUCCAACUGUCAGGCUUCAGUGUUUCAAUACUCUUCAUUUCUUAAAAAAUCUCAAUGGCUUCGUCGGUGUAAACAACAUCAGCACACAUAGCUAAAAGGGUGUUAUAGAGAAUUACAUUUAACUCCAAUCCCUUUUCCUUCAUCUCUUUAUAAACAUUAAGAGCAUCAUCACAGUAACGAGCUAUACCAUAGGCCCUUAAAAGAGUUGCAUAGGUUACCCAAUUUGGUGAAAGCUCCUUGCUUAUCAUCUGUCGGUAAAUUUUCUUGGCCUGCCAAGGUCUCCUAGCUCUUCCCAUAGCAUCCAACAAAGUGUUAUAAAUAACCAAGUUUGGCUUAGCCCCUAUAGCUUUCAGUUCCUCAUAAACAUUCAAGCACCCAUCAAAAUUCCCCGAUUGCCCGUGAAUUUUGAUGAACGUAGAAAACGUCACUGGAUCAAUGCGCCGCUUCUCAGUCCUGGCCCGGUCAUACAAACUGAAAGCCAUUUCUACCUUACCCACACGUCCAUAGGCGUCAAUCAUAGCCGAAUAGGUAACAUCAUCCGGAUUACACCCAAAACCGGGAAUCUUCUCAAACCACUCCACAGCCUUAUCAAGCAAAGAACACAUCAAAGAGCAACUAAUCAUAGUCGAAAAGGUAACAUUAUCGGGGUUAACACCUCUCUGAAGUAUUUCGUCGAACAGCUUCUCUGCUCUCUCCAUAUCCUUACCCUUCCUACACACUUUCAAAGUCACAUUAUCCAAAAUCACCUCCCGCUUCGGUUUCAACCUCUGCUGAAAGUAGUUAAGCGCAAGCAAAGCAUUUUCCGGAUUGUUCAUGCUAUUCAGAACCACCACAGCGUUUGGUUCCAAAAUAUAAUCCCCUAGACCUUUUAAAGCUUCGAAAACAUCACUUUCAAUCGGAGUGCAAGAGUUCAAAUACUCAGCUACUUUCACCAAAGAAGCUUACCUGGAAUCGUAGGACUUGUGCCGCAGCUGUGAAGUUCUGGGGCUGCUGGGAUUGACCCAGAUAUAGCUUUUCGAGAAAGACCCGGAAUUUCCAUCUGGCCUCUGAAUAUUUCCAAUUUCUGGAGCUUUGGAGUUCUGGGCUUCUUCUGCAACUGGGUCUUGCAAAGAAACAUGGUGUAUUUGCAGAGAGGUUCUUGACUGAAAUUGCAGUGAAGGAAAACUGAGUCUGUGGGUGUUAAUUGCAAGGCUUAGGAGUCGGAAAUUAGUCGGGGAAGAAGAAGAAGGGAGAGAGCGGGGGGAGUUUGGGGGUUGCGGAAGAGAAAGGAGGGUGAGGAGCACAAGUGAUAAGCCAUUUUCCUCACCCUGUGGGGGAUUAUGAAAGGUGCAUUUCUUUUGCUUUGCAUUCACAGGACAAAUAUCUUUUUGAACUUGUGUCGGGCCUGGAAGUGAUUUUACGGCUUCGGAAGAUGUUCGAAGCCCAACUUGAAUUUCCAAGAGCUUUAUGAUCAGAUAAAAAGUUUAUUAAAAUAGGCAUUGUUUUGUAUAAGCAUUAAGGAAAAUGUUAUGAUUAAGCUUUUUCAUAGCAGUUUUAUCAUCGUUUUGUAGGUCCAGAUGUUCAAAAGCUUACGUGUAGGAAAGAUGAGUUUAAUAUAAAGAAAUCACAAACCAUAACAAAAUUGUGAGUGUUAGCUCAUAAAUUUUGUAGAAAAUGCAACAAUUGAUGUCAUUUAAGGUGUUCAGAAGCAUUCUUAUCGUAAUAGAAAAUUAAGAAUAAAAUCACCUCCACAUCCAAAUCUCCUUAAUGUCCCAUAAGAAUUUUAAGAUUCUUACGGUUAAAAUUUGACACAAAUAUAGGUUAUAUAUAUAUAUAUAUAUAUUUUAGGUUAUAUAUAGUUCUUGGCAAAAAAUCUAUAAAUCAAUAAAACACCGUAAAUAUUAGCUCACGAGAAAAUAUUAAAUUAACUAUUGAGCAUAAGAAUAUGUUGCAGAGGUAGAAAAAUGUUACGAGCCGUUAGGAAAUGGUGGGUUUUUGUAGGGUAUCAGCCGGAAUACAAACAUGGUGUUGGAUUAGUAGACACGUGGGGUUUUGGCUUUUGCUUAUUUUUGUAUAAACAUAUCAAUUAAUUCUCGAACAAACAAAAGGAGAAUGGAAUGAAAAGCAGGCAUAGGAGUAGUUCUUGUUUCUGGGAACACAUUAUUAUACACGUAUCUAGGUUGCUGCUGCCGCUCUCUCUCUCUCUCUCUCUCUCUCUCUCUCUCUCUCUCUCUCUCUCUCGUCGACAUUUGGAGGGGCCGAGGGAUCAAGGAUUUGUUUAAUUUAGAGUAAUGUUAAGAAAACAAAAUUUAUAAAUAAAAUUUACAAAUUAAAUGAUGUGUCGCUAAUAAGAAAUUAACACAUUUAUAAACGUUUAAGUAAUAAUCAAAUCAUCAACUUUCAUGUCAUUUAGUUAAUAAAAUUUAGUCUACAAAUUUAGUCUUCUUAAUAUUACUCUUUAGUUUAUGGUAGAAUCUAACUAUGUGGGGCUGAAAAUGAUAUAGUUGAGCAUUGUUAGACGAGAAAUGGUAGCUAAAUUUCAUUCUUUAGUUUACUCAUAUGAGCCCUGGGAGGCCAAGGAACACAUUAUCUUGAUCAAAUAGUGUAACUCAUAUAAGCUUCAGAAGAUAAGAGAUUGCUUCGGGAUGGGUUUUUGUUUUUGUAAAGAAAGAAAAAAAUAUAGUUUAGAUUAGAACAUGCUGGUAGGAGAGAAAAAUGGUUAGCUUUUGGAAAUAUAGGUAAAUAUAGAAAAAUAAUAAUGAGUUUUUUUAAAAGAAAUCAAAAUUUUGUUUGUGUUAAUAGAGUUCAUGUUACAUUUAAUAAAUGAGAAAGAUACGUAGCUAGAUUCUUCUGUUCACACCUCCUCAAUUCCACUCUUGACCAAUAAGAACGCACGCGCACGCACUGUGCAGGACAAAGAAGGGAAUGUGGAAUGGAAACUUUUAUUGCAUUGAAAAUUGUAGCAGCCACCAACUUCAUCUUCAUCUUCAUCUUCAUGAUGAGAUGUAUCUCUCUCUCUAUAGUCUAUACUAAUGAUAUAAGAACAGAUUAACGUGAUUGUGACUUGACAACCACCAAGAUCAACGACCAACUUUAUUAUUCACUUAACAAUAUAUGACCCUCCUAUAAUAUUAAUAUCGAACACUGCUAAAAUAUUAUCCCGAGAUUGAAGAAGUUAUCACGGUCCAACAAGAUGAUCGAUGAUUUACAUGACUGUGCAAGCUGAGGGAUUUUCUUCACUGAAACAGUCAGGGCGGGUAACGCAAUACCCCCUGUUGCCACCACCGUAACUGUCAUACACAGGCCUCCCAUAGUAACCAUCAUACUGGAUGUACGAGGCUAGCCCCCCGCUAUAACCACUGUGGCACGGCCCAGCUGCAUGCCCCUGGUAACAAUCCAUACAACACGCUUGGACAUGCGAUGAGGGUCCAGGAUUUAGCAGGCCAACUUUAGGUUUACCGUCAUCUUUAGGCGUACUGUCAUCUUUAGGCUUACCGUCACCUUUAGGCUUGCCGUCAUCUUUAGGCUUACCUUCAUCUUUAGGCUUACUGUCAGCUUUAGGCUUGCCUUCAUCUUUAGGCUUACCGUCAGCUUUAGGCUUGCCAUCAUCUUUGGGUGCUUUGGGCUUGCCGUCAUCUUUGGGUGCCUUGGGCUUCUCGGGCUCUUUGAUCUCAAUGCUUUUGAUGGCACUCCCACCUUUGCAGCAAAUCUUGUCCCUCAUCUUUUCUGGACUGCAGCAUACCACUUUGAUAACCACUUGGUUUUGCUUCUCGUCGUAUAUCUGGUCUCGUAUUUCUCUUGUUCACAAACACACAUUAAUUUACUCAGUUUACAUUUAAUCUAAAUUAAUCUUAUUUUCCCAAAAAGAAAGAACUUUAACUUUGGUAUUUCAUCAAAUAACCAUAUAGAUGAAUCAAGGAGAAAAGAGACUCACGUGGGAAUUUACAAAGAACUUUUUUAACCUUCUUGUAGCAUUUGUGACACUGAAGAUCUACCUUCAGCACCAUAAUCGUAACCUGAAUUAUCCAUUUUUAAUAUUAAUAGAAAAAAUAUGUGCAUUAACCAAAGAUUGACAAGAAUGAAUCUUCAGAAAAUAUAUAAAUAUACAGAAGAUUGUUGUGCAAAAGUGUAGACAAAAAGAAGUGGAACAGUGCUGCUGGACAAUCAGGGUUCUAACUGACUGACAGGGAAGAAUCAUGGUGAAAGUAUGUGGCCAAAUCUGUAACACAGAGAGAGAGAGAGAGAGAGAGAGAGAGAGAGAGAGAGAGAGAGAGAGGCAAAAAGCAACAAAAUAGCACAGAGGAAGGGACUUGGAGACUUAUUAGGAUAUAAAAAAAAAAGAACAGGAACCACAAAACUUAAACAAGAGCUUAAAGCCUUUUAGUUUUAGCCAUACAAUCAUCAUUUGGGUUAUCUACUUAUCCUUGGAAGAAGAAAAUGAAGAGAACACAAACUAUACCAAAUAUUACGUACCUUUUCCUUUUCCCCCAUUGCAGUGAGUAGUGGAUGCUCUCAGGCUCAGAUCUGGACGAGAACUUCUCAACUAAAAUGAUUGAAUGGGACAAAAACUUUAACGAAAUCAACUUUUAUAAUUAUAUAUGCAUAUUUAUACAAAAAUAUAUAAAAAUAGGAAUACAAUUCGGUGGAACAAAACAGAGAGAGAGAGAGAGAGAGAGAGAGAGAGAGAAGGAGAGAGCAAUAUUUGAUUAAAGUGGCUUAUUAAAAAAAAAUAUGACAAAUUGCUUGUUAAGAAAGAGUGAAAAAGAAAGAGGGAGAGAGCGCACAAUAGUUCGUACAUAGGGCGAAUGGGCUGCGAACACGUUGAUAUCGGUAGGUUGAUCCCACGCUAUGGUGGACAAAAGUUUCAUUGUAACUGUAAUACGGAUAAUACAACAUGUGUCAGUGAUGGAAAAUUUUAAUUUUUAAGUUAUUAAUUUUUUAACACAAGUAGCUCAUUAUUUUUAUAAUAACAUGUGAUGUAACAUUCUAUAUUUUGGACACACUAAAAGUUAUGUCAUUAUAAUAAUUGAGAGUUGUCGUUAUAGAGGCAGAUUGUCUACCCUCCUGUUUGGGUGCCCAUCUCAUCCUCACAUAUUUUGUGCGGUCAUGGUUAAACCACGUUUACAUUUUAUAUGCUCAUUAUUUUUUGUCUUAUUAUCUUUAUAAAAAAAAUUAAUAUAAAAUAUUGACGUGCCUUAACUGUAACCGUACAGAUAGAAGAUGAUGAAAAAAACACCUAAACAGGAGGCAGACAAUACGCCUCCUCGUUAUACGAAGAUAGGUGACUUCCUGAUGAUCGCUAAAAGUUGAAAUUUCUUGCACAUGCAUGUGCUGGCUUUGAUUCACCCACCUCACCUUCCAUACUUUCCAACUUCCUGCUAAUAUUAUUAUAAGUAAAUGAUUAAUUAUCAAAAUAAAAUUACAUCCUAAGUUAAUUAUAAUUAUUAAAGUUCACAUAGAGUUUGGUGGAGAGGAGAGAUGCCAAUAUUAUUUCAAGAUCGUCAAAUUAAUGGAGAAAAAACUAUAUUGUAGGGUCGAUAGUUUGGUCAAGUGCAAUUAUGGAUCAUGCACCCCCACAUGGCACAUGGAAAUUCCUCCAGUUGUCCCUACAUCUUAAGUAACAACAGGUGCCACCCAUCUUUGACUAGCUACUUGAAGUUUGGUUUGUUAAUCCAAACCGGUGAAGAAACGUCUGGUAAUUAGGUUGGAGUAGGAUUCUUUAUCCUUUUAUUUCCAUUCUUUUUUCUUCCCUUCUCUUACAUGUUACUUUUUGUCUUAUUGUUUUUAUAAAAAAAAUCAAUAUAAAAUGUUGACGUAACUAAACCAUAAUCAUUCAAAUAAAAGAAGAGGGAAAAAAAGAGAGAUUAAGAGGAAAGCGAAUCCUCUUCCAAUUAGGAUAACGAUUUUCAUUCAAUUGAUAUGGCAUCAUUUUAGAACCACACGUACAUACAUGCUGCAUCAUAAACCCUAUUACCUGCAAUGUACCGGACAGAGAAUGGAUGAUCAAAAUCCAAAAAGCGUGGGCUCCAGAUGACAAGAGCGUGGCUGAGGUUCAAAUGUCCCAAUUUCAUAGAGGUGGGUUGCUCACACAAUAGUGGUUGAUCAAUCCGAUUUGAUCUUUUCUUCUUGUACGUAAGUGCAUCACAGCUCAUUCAUUUGUACGUAAGACUUGAUAUGUUUCGUUUUGAUACAACCGACAAGAAAAUGAGGAUGAGAUUAGUGGACAUUAGGUGCAACGAUAUUUAAAUUAAUUAGUCGUUCACUUAAUUAUCUUUGUUUCAAGACUAGAAGUAGUACACUACACACCCUAACAAUGGUCAAAAGUGGGGAGUAUGAUUCUCUACCCUUCCAUGUCCUUCUAUUUGAACGGUCACGGUUAAGUCAUGUCCUCCUAUUUGAAUGGUUAAAUAUGAUUUAAUAAUAAUAGUUUUGUUGUCCUUUGGCUCUCUUGAUUUGAUUCUAUACAUUAAAAAUUGAUUUCACUUUCCUGCCUGCUUCCUGCUUCUGCAUACAUACAAUAUGGCUAAGCUUUGCAUUUUGGACAUAUCGAAUGUUUUUUAACUCAACUUUUGUCUUUGAAUUACGUUGUUUUGUGGAUGCACGGGAUCGGUGGUUAGAUAUCUCGUCUUGAACGCUGUCGUGCAAAUAGUACAUACGUAAUACAAAGAUUAGGCAGAGGUAACUUUGCGUAAUUUCUGGUGCCGCUCUAUGCUGUGCGCAGGUGUGCGCAUCGCCUGCGCAUAACGUCUUGGAGAUGAAAUCCCAGCCUUCGACCUCUAAGGCCUUAAAACCAACGGAUGUGAUGAGUGUUAAAUCCCUUGUACGCAACCCCAUGCGCAGGGGAGAAAUUCUGCCGACACUGUUUUCUCACCCUGAACGAAUGGACUUAUAGCAGCUUCAAUAUACCCACCACAGGCCUAAGUUUGUAGAUAAAAAUCACAACGAUGAAUUUGGGCCGAUUCUGAAAUAUCGAAGCCCAAACCUAGAAGAGAUUUUAAAAUGGAUUUUAGAUUUUUCGUCACCAGACUCGACCCAGCAAAGUUGGCAACUAAUACAGUACACACCCACCCACCCACGCCCACCUAGGGAAUCCCUUGAUCUUAACGCACAAAACCCUUUGGGAAAUUGACAUUUUGAGAAAAACUUUUUUAUAAGCUUCCUGGCUCAGAAAAUGAUAAAACCAUGCAACCAAUAACCAUAUUUUCUUGUCUUAGUGCACUGUACAAGGGAUUAAUCGGCGGUGUCUAUACAUAACACAUGAAAGUUAACAUUAUUCCUGCUCAUCUAUCUCAUUUGUAGAAGAGAUGUAAACGUUUAUAUUUAACUUUUAAUAGAUUUCUCUUCCCAUCUAGUAGAGAAACAUAAAGAGUGAGGUUUUUACAUUUUGAUCCCGUUAAAAUCUGAAUGGUAUUUUUCUGUCCCAUAUAUUGGUCCCAUUGAGUAGAGAAAUGUCUACAUGAUUCUAUCACAAGCAAAUAACAUGUCUUGUAUCUCGAGAAUUAUAAUAGCGGAAAUAAGCCUAAAAAGUAAGCAUCUAAGGUCACUUUAGUCUAUGAUGGUCAGGGGCGGCCCUGAGGGUAGCCUGGUAAGGCAACUGCCUAAGGCCCUCAACUUCUGGGGGCCCCCAUUUUUUUUUUAUAUGUAUAUAUAGUGUAUAAAUACUUUUAAAGUAAGAAGGAUAACACAAAAAACUUGGUGGCGUAGUGGAAAAGAAGGCAUUUAUUUGGUUACCAUCUCUUGUUUGAAACAUGAUGAAGACUCCCCAAACAAGUAUUGUUUUUCCAAAUAUAAUUAGAAAGCCUAAUCUAAUAACAAUUUGGAUUAUGUAAACUCAAUUGGUACAGUUGCAUCUAAAAAUGCGACACAUGUAUUAUCUAAUGUUUAUAUAUCUUUCUUGUUAUAGUAUUAAUUUUUAAUGGUAUUUGAUGUAGAAAUACAUUUUUUUAAUGUAUUAACAAAUUAUUUUUUCUACAUAUCAAUGUACAAAGAGUUGGGGAUUCAAUGAUUCUAGAAUCCCACUUUUAAAGCUCGCCUAGAGCCUUCAAAUUCACAAGGUCGGCCCUGGUGACGGUUUUUGUACCUCCUGUCAUUCUCAUGUUGGAGUGACUCCCAAAUGGUUUUGAUCAUAAGGAAUUUUCAAAACUUUCGUAGCAUACAAAAGGAAACUGGACUUUUUCACUUCUUCGAUUUCUUAAACCUCAUUCAGCUAUGAUCUAACCGAUGAUGUUAUUCAAAUCACAUCACACAUAUAGGCGCAUUACUACUGAGUACGAGGAUGGAUUUCUAAGAACUUCACUAACUUUGUAAGACUAAUGAAAGAAGAUUUCAUAGUUGAAUUCUAAUGGUACAAAACGGUUCUCUACGCCCAAAGAGAAUUCCAAAAACAUAUAAAUAGAGAACUGAGAAGCAGCAAAUACCAGUUUCACAUUGCAGUUUUAGUGUGAUGAGUUUUCCAGUAAACUAAACAGCCCAACAUCUAAGCAGUAACUAACUCAGAUGAACUUCUAGACUCUAACCAUAACUUGACUGCAACUUCUAUUGUAAAAAACCAGCUAGCCUUGUCUAAGGCCUCAUGGAAUAGAGCAUUCAAUUCCUUCAAAUGCGACUCAAAUGCACUCACCACACCUUUGUCUGGAACUUAUGUUUCCCAUGUCCAUUAUUAAUUCCAAACAACGGCGAAAGCUCCUCACCGGAUUCCAAUACCCAAGAUAGGUCAUUGAUCCAAACAAGUAAUGCAGUCAGAGCUGCCCCAAGAGAGAGGCCCUUAAGAUACAAAAAUCACUGGGUCUGAGACCUUGACUGUAAGCCUAUGUAUAUCUGAAGUGUGAUCCCCAAGUCUAGUAGCUCACAGGCUCUCUCCAAGAGAUUGAGGUUCACACAAAGAUCAAUCAGGCAAUUGUAGUAAGCCUUCUUUACAUCUGAACCAAUCGAGUUAAAAAGUUGUGAUGCUUCGUUCUUUAAGUUUUCACUACUUUCUUGCUUUUCCACCAAAAGUUACCACAUCCCCUAGUUUUUCAUCAGCAAUCUCAAUGCAAUUCACAAGCUUGCAAUGUUCGUCCUUUGGUGUUUGAGUCAUCACAUUCAGGAGCUUGCAAAGUUCUUGCAAAGUUCUUCCUUUGGUGUUUGGGUCAUCACAUUCAAGAGAUAACCACAGAAACGCUCAUCGGGUGUUAUUCCCAAUUCUAGGAGUUGAUUGAAUAUUUUGACAACGUCAUCAAUGCGUUUUGCCUUACCGUAGCAUUGGAUGAGUGAUGUCAAAAUAAAGAUAUUCGGCUCGAAACCAGCUUCCAACAUCUCAUUCAAUGUUGCUUCUGCCUCUAUGACUUUCCCGCUACAAGAAUAUAUGGUAAUCAUGAACGAAAAGGUCCAACUGUCAGGCUUCAAUGUUUCAGAACUCUUCAUUUCUUCAAAAAUCUCAACGGCUUCGUCGGUGUAACCAACAUCAGCACACAUAGGUAAAUGGGUGUUAUGGAGAAUUACAUUUAACUCCAGUCCCUUUUCCUAAAGAGCAUCAUCACAGUAACGAGCUCUACCAUAGGCCCUUAAAAGAGUUGCAUAGGUUACCCAAUUUGGUGAAAGCUCAUUGCUGAUCAUCUCUCGGUAAAUUUUCUUGGCCUGCCAAGGCCUCCUAGCUCUUCCCAUAGCAUCCAACAAAGUGUUAUAAAUAACCAAGUUUGGCUUAGCCCCUAUAGCUUUCAUUUCUUCAUAAACAUUCAAGCACCCAUCAAAAUACCCUGAUUGCCCGUGAAUUUUGAUCAAUGUAGAAAAUGUCACUGGAUCAAUGCGCCACUUCUCGGUCCUAGCUCGGUCAUACAAACAUGGUGUUGGAUUAGACAAGUGGGGUUUUAGCUUUUGCUUAUUUGUGUAUAAACAUAUCAAUCAAUUCUCGAACAAACAAAACGAGGAAUGAAAAGCAGGCCUAGGAGUAGUUCUAUUUUCUGGGAACACAUUAUUACACACGUAUCUAGGUUGCUGCUGCUGCUUUUUCUCUCUUGUCGACAUUUGCAGGCGAAGAGGGAUCAAGGAUUUGUUUACUUUAGAGUAAUGUUAGGAAACUAAAUUUGUAAAUAAAUUUGCAAAUUAAAUGAUAUGUCAUUAACACUUAAGUAAUAAUCAGAUCAUCAACCUUCAUGUCAUUUAGUUUACAAAAUUUUGUUUACAAAUUUAAUCUCCCUAGCUACUCUUUAGUUUAUGGUAGAAUCUAACAAUGUGGGGAUUGAAAAUAAUGAUAUAGUUGAGCAUUGUUAGACGAGGAAUGGUAGCUAAAUUUCAUUCUUUAGUUUACUCAUAUGAGCCCUGGGAGGCCAAGGGUUUGCUUAUGGGUUAGGAAUUUACGUGGAUUGAAACACACUACCUGAUCAAUUAGUGUAACUCAUAUAAAUUCUGGGAAACCAAGAGAUUGCUUCUGGGUGGGUUUUUGUUUUUGGUAAUGAAAGAAGAAAAAAAAUAGUUUAGAUUAGCACACGCUAUGGUAGGAGAGAAAAAAGGUUAACUUUUGGAAAUAAAGGUAAAUAUAGAAAAAUAAUAAUGAGUUUUUUAAAAGAUAUAAAAAUUUUGUUUGUGUUAAUAGAAUUCAUGUUACGCUUAAUAAAUGAGAAAGAUAAGUGUAAAAUGCAAAUGAGGAAGGUAGCUAGAUUCUUCUGUUCACACCUCCUCAAUUACACUCUUGACUAAUUGUUUAUUAGUAGUUGAUGAAAAUCAACUUGCGAAAUAGGAAAUAACUAAUAAUGCACGUGCAGUGUGCAGGACAAAGAAGGGAACGUGGAGUGGAAACUUAUAUUGCAUUGAAAAUUGUAGCAGGCACCAACUUCAUCUUCAUCUUCAUGAUGGGAUGUAUUUCUUUCUCUCUAUGGUCUAUAUUAAUGAUUUAAAGAACAGAAUAACAUGAUUGGGACUUGACAAUGUUCAUGUGACUUGACAACCACGAACUUUAUUAUUCACUUAACAGUAUACAUGGCCAUUGGAACUGAACCGUUAACACGACCUGUUAAUAUUAGUAUUUGGAUGAAUAUUUAACGGGUCGGAUCGUUAACAGGUUGCUAAUGUGAACCCGUUAACAACUCACAUUAGUAACCCGUUAAAUAACGGGUCACUUUGGAUCAACCCGUGAACACCCAUUAGUUAAGGAUGUUUUAGUAAUUUCAGUAAAGUCUUAACAACAAAAUAUAAACUCUAUGAAAAAAAAAAAUAAUAAUAAUAGUUGUUAACGGAUGAAACGGGUGACCUGUUAGCUUAACGGGUUGGGUUCGGAUGAUCCAUUAACUUAACGGGUCAGGUUUAACCCGACCCAAAUCCAAUAAACCCAACCCGUUUACAGGUAUACUCUUAGGUGUGGUUUGGGGUUGAGAUUAUUUAAAAAAGAAAGUUGAGAUAAAAAAAAAGCUAGAGUAAAAUUUGUGUUUGGUAACUCACAGCGCGUUUACUAAUCCGUAAUCAAAUUGAGGGGAAUUGAAUUGAUGGGGAAUUGGAUUGAGGAGGAAUGGAAAUGAGGUGGAAUCAGAAUCAGAUUCAUGUUGUAGUUGUUUACUAAAACUGUCUGGAAUCGGAGUAGAAAUGACAUUAAACUAUAUAAAGUGUUUACUGAUUCACAUGAAUCGGAAUGAAAACUAAUGCGAUUACUAAAAUGCCCCUAUUUUAACCAAUUUAUUUUAUAUGUUAAUUAUUUUAAAUAAAAUUUUUAUCGUUUUAUUUUUAUUUUGAUUACUAUACAGAAUUUACAAAUAUGUAUUCUUGCUGGUAGAGAAGCUCUAGACAUAUGUAGAAGAGUCUUUAAUCACAUAGAAUUGUCCAAAUUUGAUCAUUUUUUAUUUGCUUCAUCCUAAACCGUAUUAGAUCAAAUUUACUUCCUUUUCUCUCUCUCCCUGUUUCCCCCAUUUUUCUCUGCAGCUGCUUGACCAGAUCUCGUUGCGGCAUCGUUCCACAUCGCGUUCGUCGUUGCGGCACCGUUCCAAUCGCGUUUGUCGUUGUUCCAUAUUCUUCUCUGCAUACACAGAAGAGAGAGAGGAGAGAGAGAGAGAACACGACGGCUCUGCAUUUUCUGGCGUCACUGUAGCUACGUGGGCAUUCUUCCCCUUCCAGUAAGUUGCUUCAGGUUCACUGCUUUUUCUUCUUCAUCAUCGUCGUCGUCUUCUUCUUCUUCUUCUUUUGUUGGGUGCUGUGGACGCAGGGGGCUUGGUUUUCUGGAAACAGCACGAAGCUUUGAUCGUAUACAUGGGUAUUUUGGGUACAAAAUUUUGAUUCCUGAUGGAGUGUUCUACCCGGAACUCAAAUACUACCUCUAUAGAGGUAAUCCAAUUCCGGGCAAUUCUGGAGUUGAAUUCCUGAUAUUGGGUGGUCCCCACAUAAAUUUUGAUUCCCUAAUUGCGAGUAUACGUCAGAAUGCAUUGGGGAAUAUCCAAUUUCGUUUCUCUCGAUUCCAAUCCCGAUAGGUAAACACGCCCUCAGCUUAUUUUCAAAGUCACUGUCAUUUUAAGCUGAAAAGUGGAAAAAAGCUGAAGCAGCAAAAUGCAGCUUCUCAAAACCAGCUUUUUUUUUUUCAAGAGGCAGGUGAACAGUAGAAUUUAAUGAAACUUUCACAAUCUCAGAAAUACCCUCCUCAAUUUCUCCUUCUUGCUGCAUUGAGCUCUUCAUGAGUCUCUGUCUCUGUCUCUUCUUUCUCUUUCUAGAACCAGAAGCUCUAAGUCCUUAAGGUUCAUUUUGGUUUCGGAUCGGGUCCUGCAUUUGUAUAAAUCGGAGCUGUUUGAUCGGCGCUAGAACGGAUUCGGAUUUCAACAAUCGAAUUCGCUUUUUGUCUAAUUGGAUGGUCUGAUUGGGGUUGAAGAUGAAUCCGCUCUGCUGCAUUGCAUCGGUUUCGAUGGAUCGCGACCGGGGCACCCCGGUGGCGGUGAAAAUGAAGAAUUUUGAUCUGGGUUUUUUCACAAAAAAAAAAGAAGGUGAUUUGAGCUUUUCAAAGAGAGGAUUUGGAUGGAGUGCUUGCAGUUGUAUCAUUGAAGAAGAAGACCAGAGGAUAAUAUAAUGGAAUAAAAAAUGGCAAAAGUGGAUUAAAAUAUCGUAAGAAUAAUGAGUAGAUAAUGCUGGAAUGAAAUAUAAAAAAAUGGCAAUAGUGGAUUAAAAAUUGUAAAGAAAAUUAACCUAUAUUUGUUAAGAAAAUUAAAUUAAUAGCACAUAUAGUAUUAUAUUUGUUAAGAAAAUUAAAUUAAUAGCACAUAUAGUAUUAUACCUUUUUUGGUCAUUUUACACAGUCACAAUUGUUUUACAUAAAAGUUUACCAAACACUAUCAUACUGCUUUUUUUUUUCAAAAACACUUUUACACAAAAGUUUACCAAACAUUCUGCUGUUUUAUUUCACAGCCGCUUAUUCUUACAGCACAGCAGAAACAGUUUUUUUUCAAAGUAUAACAAUACCAAAUCAACCCUUAUAAUAAUAGGAAGUUUUAACGAAAACUACCUUUAUUUAUCAUUUUACAUUAAACCUAAGUAUUUUUUUUGGAUUUUUUGUCCGUUUUCCUAUAAUAUUAAUAUCAACCGACAAACACUGCUAAAAUAUUAUCCCUAGAUUGAAAAAGGUGUCACGGUCCAACAAGAUGAUCGAUGAUUUACAUGACUGGGCAAGCUGAGGGAUUUUCUUCACUGAAAUAGUCAGGGUGAGUAACACAAUACCCCAUGUUGUCACCGCCGUAACUGUUAUACACAGGCCUCCUAUAGUAACCAUCAUAUUGGAUGUACGGGGCUGGCCGCCCGCCAUAACCACUGUAGCAGGGCCGCUCGCCACAACCAUUGUAGCAUGGCCGCCCGCCACAACCACUGUAGCAUGGCCGCCGCCACAACCACUGUAGCACGGGCCAUCUGCAUGCCCCUGGUAACAAUCCAUACAACAUGUGCGGACAGGCAUUGGGUACCCUAGCACAGCAAGAUCUUUAGGCUUGCAAUCAUCUUUUUUUUUACCGCCAUAACCACUGCAGCACGGCCCACCUACAUGCCCCUGGCAACAAUCCAUACAACACACUGUGACAGGUGGUGGGCACUUUGGCACAACAGGAUCAUUAGGCUUGCAGUCAUCUUUUUUAUUGCCGCCAUAACCACUGCAGCACGGGCCACCUGCAUGCCCCUGGCAACAAUCCAUACAACAUGUUCGUACAGGCGGUGGGCACUCUGGCACAACAGGAUCUUUCUUACCGUCACAUUUAGGUUUGUUGUCACAUUUAGGUUUGUCAUCACAUUUAGGCUUACAGUCACAUUUAGGCUUGCCGCCACAUUCAUGCUUGUUGUCACCUUUAGUCUCGGGCUUGCUGUCACCUUUAGUCUCGGGCUUGUUGUCAUCUUUGGGCUUCUCGGGCUCCUUGAUCUUGAUGCUUUUGAUGGCACUCCCACCUUUGCAGCAAAUCUUGUCCCUUAUCUUUUCUGGAUUGCAGCAUACCACUUUGAUCACCACUUGGUUUUGCUUCUCGUUGUAUUUCUGGUCUCGUAUUUCUCCUGUUCACAAACACAC
rnacentral:lncRNA from 1 species